rnacentral:lncRNA from 1 species
AAAUGUACACUUGAAAAUUAUUAUUAAGUCUAUUAUUUGUUCUUUUUCAACUUCAUGUUUAAAAAUGGUGAACACAUAUUUGUGGGUAAAUGUUGAUUUCCUUUGCCGAAGAAUCUCCAAUUUUAUUGUUCUAUGCAAGAUGUACAUGUAACGUAAUAAAGUUGUAACUAGGGCUGUGCAUCGAAAUCGAAAUCGGUAAAUCGGAAGUUUGAAAUUGGAAUUUUUUGAAAUUUUGACAUGAAUUUUUCCGACCGAAUUCGAUUUCGAAAUGGCCAAUUCCGAUUUCGAAUUCGAUACCCGAAUUUCGAAUUCACCGAAUUCAAACCUACUCUACUCUUAGUCUACUGCACUUCCUCCCUUCUCGGUCUAUUGCUAUUCUACUUCACUCUCACCGACCACUGCAAACUCCUGCCAGUCUAAGUCUACUCCGUUUUCUCCAACUUUCUCUACGCUACUUGUGAUUUAGUAAGUAGUACAAACUGCAAAGAGAAACGACCAAUGGAAGGAGGGUUGGAGCUGAGUAAAGUGACGCUGGAAAUCUUCUCCAAGCUCGAGCAACAGUGGUUGCAUCACUGCCAACCCCCAAGAAGACUCACAUUCUCAGUAUCGACGGCGGCAGAGUCGGCUCCCCCUCUGCCAUCUUCGCCGCUCAUUCCUUGAUCCUUCUCGAAGACCAGAUCCAUGCCAAAUCCGCUGAUUCCCAAUCUCGCAUUGCCGAUUUCCUCAAUCUUAUCACCGACACUGGCAUUGGAGCUCUUUACGCUGCAAUGCUUGCCGCCGACGACGGUUAUGGACGUCCUUUGUUCACCGCCAGGGAUGCCGUCAACUUCAUCGCCCAAAACUAGUCCCGGCUCUUUAAAGUCAAGGGCACCCUCACCCUUUCAAGCUUGCUUUUGGUUACCGAUCCGAUCGCAAGUAAAUGAGAUACUCUAAAUAUACCAACCCUGUCCUCUGUUCUGGGUGUAGUCUAUCGCCCUUUCGGCCCACUGAGUAGGCCUUUUUCUUUCAAUACGACGGCCUCAGCUUAUUCUUUUAGACUCGUCCCACGAAGCGGUUUGGAACUCGUUUCGUAUGCGGUAUCACCUCUUUAGUUGAUUGUCCCGGCGAACCUGAGUAUGCCUCCUUUCCGCCAGCCUAGGCUUCGGAAUUCUCGCCGACAAAGGUUCUCUGGCAGGAGCAUGGAUGUGGCGUGAAGAUGGAGGUGAAACUGAGAGUGAGAGAGAGUAAGUUGAGGAAGUAGGAAAUCACAGUGAGUCGGAGACGGAGGAAGGAAGGUGAGACAGUGAGUCAGGCGUGGAGGCGGUGGAGGGGAGGAGAGGAGAAGGAAGGUGAGAGAUAGUCUUGAGAGACGAUGAGGAAGAGGUGGCGAAGAGUAACAAGAGUUAACAGAUUAGGUUUUUGCAAUUUCAAUUGUUAGAUGUAUCAGUAUUAUUGUUAUUAACUUAUUAUGUUAUAUAAUAUAUAUUAUAUAUGUAUUGUUAAAAAAAUUAUAUAUAAAUAUUAUUAUUCGAAAUUAAAAUAACAGUUCCGAUUUCGAAUUCCCCAAUUCGAAAUCCGUAAUUACGAUUUCAAAAAUUAUAUUUUCGAAUUCGAUCCGAUUUCGACCAAUUCGAAAUUGGAAUUAUCGAAUUCCAUUCCGAAUUACUGAAAUUCCGAAUUCGAAGUUUCGAAUUCAAUUCGAAAUCGGUCGGUAAAUCGAAAUUUUUCGAAUUUGCACACUCCUAGUUGUAACUAGUUGACUAAUCUAACUAAAGCAUCCCAUAUAACAAAAGUAGUGUGUCUAACUAACUAAUUAGUCCACAACUGGUUAGAAAGUUAUUUGUAUAAAGUACUGCUACUUUCAAGGUCAAGAAUUAAGGCCCUAUUUAAAAGGUGAGUUUUUUGGGUGUUUGUCUAAAAUUUUACUGUAGUUUACUGUAGAAGUUUUUUAAAAAAAUUUUGAAGUGUGUUUUUUUUUGAAUAUUUUGAAGUGUAUUAUUUAAAAACUUUGAAAAUUUUUUUGAGAUUACUGUAGGUAAAGUUUUAAAAAAGUUGUAGCAGACAAACUUGGCAAAAAACUUGGCUUAAGUUUGGAUUGCAUUUUUCUAGAUCUUUUGUAGAAAAAAUACUAUAACAAUUUAAUAUAUGUGAGGUAAAAAGGUGAUUGGGAAACGUGUUCACCGAAAACGUAGCAAUUUUUCUUUAGAAAAUGACUGUCCAAACAAGGCCUGCACUUGACAAAAUUGUUUUCCCCACCCACAUUUAUAGUUCCUACUAUUUAUGUAACUUAAGUUAUAAUGUUUAAGUUGAUUGAACUGCUAUAAUCUUAUAACAAAGAGUAUAUUUGGUACACGUAUUAUUUCUAUCUUAUUUACACACACUGAUUUAUUUGUAUUAUCAACAAUUUUUUAAUCACCUUAUUUAUCUCACAUACAUCACAUCAAAAAAGUGCUACAGUAUUUUUUCACAAAAUUAUCUCAAAUAAUUUACUAUCCAAACACACUUAAAAUUACAUGACAAAGUUUAAGUAUUCAAUUUGAUAUAUAGCUUCCCAAUUGGGUUGUUUGUGUCAAUUGAGAAAUAUUGAAAAUCCUAUCAUGGGGCAAAGUGAGAAACAUGUUUUGUCGAGGGGCAUGUUAGUACCUCCAAAAAGAAACUACGCCGUCCCGUUAUCUUUGCUUCUUUUUGUCUGUUUUCUUCUCCUCCCCAUCUGUAAAACCCUUCACCGGUUCACCCUGCUCCAAGUGCUCUCUCCUUGGCCCUCUCUGAUUUUCUCGAAGUGGGUUCUUCAGUCCAGAAGGUAACAACUAAAGGCUCGCUCUUUUUCUCUUCCUUCCCUUCGAUUUUUAGCUUUGCAGCAUUGAAUAUUGAAUUCUGAAUUUCUUUUGACUGGCAAAAUCUUUGUAUCUGUAGGGUUUUAUUCUUAUUACGUGUUUGAGCUUAUAUUCACAUGCUUACAUAUUUCAACAGCCAUUUGGUAUAAUCUCAUUGUCUUGUAUAUCCUGUUUUUCUCCGUAUUUAAUUCCGGAUAACAUGGGCUAGUAAUUUUAUAAUGUUGAUUACCAAAAAGAGGAUCUUCCAAUGAGGUUUUUUUUUUCUCCUUUUUCUUUUUUGAUAGUGCUCUCGUUGAGACUCAGCAUCAUAUCAUUUUUCCUUGGUCAAAGAAUUAUUCAUUUUUAUUGCCCUGAUUCCCUUUAUCUUAAGCUUAUGCAAUCACUUAGUUAUGGAAUUUUUCUGGAACAUUGAUAAGCUUAUAGUUUAUCUAGAGUAAUAACAGGCUUUUAUGCAUAUUUGAUGCUCCUAUGUAUGGCUUUUGCUCUUUCCAUUUCCCUGCUUGAAGAUAAGAAGUGAGAUUGCCUGAAUGUAAGCUGCUGCAAUGAUUGAAAAUGGUGUACUAUUUGUGGAAGUGGUUAUUAUGCUAUAAAAUUUUCAAAACAAUUUAUAUCAUUUUGUAAUGAAAGGGUUUUGUGGAGGGUAAGAAAUACAUGGCAUUUGAAGGAAAGGGAGAUAGAAUUUGACUAAUAAAGAUCAAUGUUUGAAAAUUAUGUUCUGUACUUUCUUAUCAGAAUCAUUGAGCUGUUGCGUUUCCUUUAUUGAAAAAGCAGAACAAAAGAAUUCUUGGUCAGGGUGCGUCUCUUUGGUGACACGCUAAUUGAAUUUUGUGGAGAAAAGUCAUGUAGUUUGCCAUAUUUUAAAUAAAAAUAAGACCUUUCUUGAUGGAUUUACCUUUUCUUCCCCUCUUUCUCCUAUUUUUCGCUAUAAAGGUUUUAUGAUAGCAUGAAGUGUAGCGGUUGAGCAAUUAUCUAGAAAUGGUGGAUUGGUGGUGGUCUAUAGUUGCGGCUGCAAUACCAGCUGUGGUUGCAGGGCAGGCUUUCAGGAUGAAGAACAGGCGAGCGGACGAGCAGAGGUUAAAGAGUGCUCGGGGUCGCGAAAAGAGCUCAGAUGAAAUAUUUGUUUGUGAGAGGGUGUGUACUUCGAAGAGGAUGCUGAAGAAGGUUGGCGCAUUUUCUAAAGACCCAACUCCUGAUACUUGUGUGACUGUUUGCGGUGUUUCUGAGCUAGAUGCUUGCGCUGAUGCUUGUGCCCGGACUGUCUGUGUUAAUCAACAUCAAGUGCCUAAUUGGAAUGACAUUUGUCUUAAGAGGUGUCAAAGUGAGUGCCUUAGGCUCUCAAAUUCUUCUGCUAUGUCUUCAUAGCAUUGCUAUUGUUUUUAAAAUGGCCUCAGGAUUCUACUGCACCUGACGUUCUGUUUGAGAUGCGUAUCCCUUUUCAAAUUCAAGAUUUAUGCUUCUCAUAUUGAUGGUGCUUUCUUAUCUCGGUUUUAUCUUCUGGUUGACAACUUCAUGUUUUUUUUAUAUCAAGUAUUUUCUUUUUAUAUCCAUCCCGUCAUACUCCACUAAACUUGAAGUCGGGGGGAUUUUAUCUACCCCAGACGCAGAAUAACCUCAGCACAUGGAAGAUUAGGGAUGUAGCAUCCAUCAUCUCUGAUGAGGGAUGAUCAUGAUUGGCUCCAUAUUCAUACUGCCUUGACGCAUGGUUAAUGGGGUUUAUUCUGUCGCUGAUGGUUAUAAUCCAAAUGGUAGUAUGAGAAAUUCCGAUUCUCCUCUGUUAAACGCUCACCCAUGUUUGAGACUCUAGAUCUUUUAUUUCAAAUGAUGGCAAUGGGAGAUUGCUGAUUCUGUUUUGCUUGGUAAUAUUCUGAGUUUAUAUUCUCUGAUUCUCCUCUGCUAAGCUAAAUUGAAGAUUAAGCAUGAUGGAAGACGUAAGUUUAUUAAAUCCCUUGCAACACAAAGCAAUUUCCUCCAACAUGUACAUCUAUCUCUUAAGAUGGGCACACUGCCCUGGUUAGUGUUCUCUGAGCUUAAAGCUAAGAGAGAAUCUGGAAGUGUUACACAGCUAUAGAUUUAGUAGCCAUGCAGUCUCAAUUCCCUGCUCGUCUACGUACAUAGCCUUAAAAUUCAACUCUCAAACACUCGAGUCAAUAUGAAUCAACUGCAAGCUAAAUCCUUGCCAUAUUGACUUUAAUUUAGACAUGAAUUCGCAAGCACAUUCACAGCUACUACUACAUACCAAGAACAAUCAUCGGUCAUUGACAAAUUUUUGCCUGCAAAGAGCGAGAUUGUACAUAGGCUUCCCUACAUGGAGCCAGUUCCAGAGCAACAAAAUAUACAAACAUUUUAACAUUUCUACAAACAUAGGGCAUCAGAUGAACAACUAAACUGAGUACCAAAUACACUUCCGACAACCUAAACAUCAGCCACCUUAUGCGAAGGAAUCCAAUCAAAACGUGUCCAAAAUUUUCAGCACAUCACAACUUAGAAGCUGAUACUACUGUUACCAAACUCAGUCCCCCUCCCUUCCAUCCAACCAAUCUAUUCCAAUUCCAACUUAUAAGCAGGUUCUUCUUGAACCCAUCCACCUAGUCAGAUUCUUCUAACUCAUCAGCAGGAAAACACAUUCCCCGUGUAAUCCAUCGGAGCCGAAUUCCACCAUUCACCUCCAUCACCAGUUCGCCGCCUCAUUCCACCGCCAACCAAGUUCACUGCUCAUACAUUGAUCACAUUCUUCCUAGGCCUACCUCUCUUUUUAGCACUCGGAUUUGACACUCUUGCCACCUUCGCAGUCUUCUGCUCCUUCCUCCCACUCUCCAUCCCCACCCCAGCAUUACCACCAACAUUUCUAUUAUUGUUUUCCUCAUUACCCGGAAACAUCGGAGGCAUCCAAUUCGGAAACCCAGAAGCAUCAACACCCUUCCCACCAUCCAAAUCCCCACUCGCAAAACCCAUCGGAAAAAAACCCCAACAACAGUAAUACGCCUCUUUCCCCGGCACCGCGGCGGCAUUGCCGAAAUCUCCAUCCCAGUGAACGCCCUCUCGCAAUUCUCACACCUCAAACAACACCCCUCGUAAAGCCUGGGAUACUCGUAAAGAUUAUAACAGUACGGACACACCGUCCAAAACGUCGUUGUAGCCCCCCUUUGUCCCCUCAUGGCCCCACCACCACCACUUCCGCUAUUGCUCAAAUUACUCCUCCGGCCCGAAGCCCGGGCAGUGUGGGUGUAGAGCUAUUGACAUUGCUAGCAUUGUUACCAGCACCACUAGCAUUAUUAGCGGUAUUAUUUCCCUAGAGCUUCGCCGGACGGGCAAUUUCUGAUUGGAGAGAUCAUUCUUGUGUUGGCGCUGCUGCUGCCGCUGUUGUAAAUCUUUCUGCCUCUUCAUAGCAGCUAGAUCUAUCUUGGUAAAAAACGACAGCUCCUUAUCGUAGGCGGAUUUCUGGACGGGAUCGGACAGAACGUUCCAUGCAUCGGCAACGAGGCGGAAAGCGGAUUCGGCGAAUUCGAACUUGUUCUUGUCCGGGUGGAGAAGAAGAGCGAAACGACGGUACUGUUUCCUAACGAGGUCGGAGUCAUCGGUGCGGUUGGGGAGUUGGAGAAUCGAGUACCAGUCGUUGUGUUGGCCGAUACGCUUUUCGGAAGCUAGCAAGACUUGGGCUACGGCUAAGAUCUGCUCGGAGCCGUCGACUAAGGGCUCGGUUUCUUGAGCUAAGACGGCGAACUCUUUGCAGCCGGCAAAGUCGCGGUUGCGGAGAAGUUUCUCGGCGAUUCCUAGUAAGCGUUCGGCUUCAGCUCGGGUGGUGGUGGUGUGAUGUUCCAUUUUUUCUUGGGGAAAUUUUUUUCUUUUUUUCUGAGGUUGGAUUGCUUUAAAUUUUUUCGGAUUGUUUUGAGGUUUUUUUUCCCUCUGUCUCCUCGAGGACAGUCCGGAAAUGGAGCUUGGGAAGUUGGGACGGUUUCAGUGGGUGGGUUACAGUUACUGACUGGCUUUCACGGGUUUGGGCUGCAGUUGGCGGGUACAACUUACUAAUGCACAAAGUAUAACAAGUGUGUGUGGAUUGGAAAUUAUUUAAAAUAUUAUUGAAAAUAAUUACCGUAAGAAAUUUUGUGAUAUUAUGUAAUAUAUGAGAUAAAACAAAACUUGAUUGAAAAUUAUAAUUAUGAUGUAAAUAAAAUAAUAGUUGAGAUAUUUUUGUUGAGACGUGGCACACUUCUAUGAAUUAGAGGAAAAUGCACACCCUAUACGUGUGCAAAUUAAAAGAAAAAUUUAUUAAAAAAAAAGAACAGUUAUUAGAAUAAUUUUUUUUUUGUUGUUAGAUUAAAAAAAAAAGAAAUUUUUGGCAAUUAUUGCAUGUUUGUACUAUUUAACUUUUUAAUGAGAGAGUAAAUAAGGAAAAACUAAAAAAUGACAAAAAAAAAAGGUCCAUAUCAUACCCAUUUCUCUCCCUUCAUACAUAGUAAGAUGAGAUAUUUUAAGCACAAAAAUUACAAAGUCGGCAAUUAUUUAUUCGAUGGGUUCUAACUUUUAUGUGUUGUGUUAGGAAUCAAAUGCAUAUCAGGUGAAAAUUGAUAUUUAACCAUCCCAAAGGAUCAGCAUCAUCAUUUGGCCCUUGUGUCCCAAAUAAUGAGUUAGAGAGUACAAGUUUGUUCCAAGACAAUGUAUUUGGAUAAAGGACUACUUGGGAAAAAAUUUUAGACUAGUACUUUAGCAAUUUCUAGUUUUUAUUAUAUGGUAUUUGUGUGAUAAAAUGGUACUUAAAAAUAGGCAAUGAUUUUGGCACUCUUAAAAAACCUGUUAGCACUCCUUCCAUGCUAAAUUACAAUUUAAUAUAUGAAAAAGACUACCAAUACUUAUUUUUUAUUUUUAUUUUUUUGUGGCACAAAUAUUUGGAAGUAAUUGUAUGUUUCUUUUUACGUUUCUUUCUAAUUUGUAGUCGACUAAAGAUUUGAAUAUUUUAUAUGUAUCGCAAGAUAGAUUUUUGUCGGAUUCGGUGAUGAUUAUUUACAAGAGUGAUAGUUUAUCCUUUAAAUAUGAGGUUAUCUUUGUGAUAGUCGGAUGCAUCUGAAACUAAAUUAAAUUUUUUAGAUAGUGAUUGGUACACUUUGAGAGAAAAAAUGAUUUUUUGAUGUUUGUCCAAGCCACACAAGUGUCUGUUCAAUUAUGGCUCCAAAGUCAAAAAUUAAAACAGAGAGAAUUAUUAAUUCAAACAUAAUAGUCUUUCUUCUUCUUUUUUUUUUUUUUUUGGUGUGUGAUUUCCAGUAUAGGUAUUGGUACAUGACGUGUUAAUUUGCAGGCAUGAUCCAGAUCAAAACUGCGAUCUCGUAAUUCUCGCAGUUUGGGCUAAAAUCUUCUGAAUCAUUUAUGCGGAUCCGGUUUGGCCGAGCCUGCUUCCUUCUUUUGUGCUAUAUACGCACUCUUUCUAGUCCAAGCGCAAAACGAGUCGCAACAAAUCCAAGAGUUAACAACAUCCAAAUCAUUAGAGCCGAGUGGACAAAACGGUGAGUUUGGGUCGAAGUUUGAACGCCCAAAUGGGCAUCGGUGAAGAUUUUUAAUUCACUCUGAUUCCUGGGUCAAGUCACGAAUUACACUUCCAGAUGGAAGAUUCUUUUGUUUAGACUUCAAAAUGAUUUGUCAUGGAUGGAUGCUUGUAGGCUCUGAAAAAGCGUUGCGGAAGCAUACAUAAUUUGACACAUAUAAACGUUAUGGGAGAAAAGAAUUUCUUACUUUUAAUGCAAAUAUAGAGCACAUUCGAUUGAAACUAGCAUAAACUUUACUGUAAUUGCCUUUACAAUAACAAAGACUCUCACCAUUUUUAUUUUUUGGGGGGGGGGGGGGUUCAUUGGCGUAGGAAUAAGAGCUUUUUAGAGGUGGGCUAGUGGUUUCUAUGUGUAUAACGUACGGUUGGAAUUUCAAUAUUGGGCUCAAUGAGGAACAUUGCAGCAAGAUGAGCCCAGCUCUGAGUGGCCGAUCCUAAUUUUUGUAUCCCGUUGCUCUAUAGAGCAAUAGUUUGGUAACCCAGAAAUAGGGUAGGCAUGGUCGAGUAUUCGUCCCGUGCACCAUUUGCUGACUCGACCCGCACCUUGCGAGUCAGUCAUUUUUGACUCUUACCCAUCCCGUAUAUCAGUGGGUACCGAAUUAUCGAAUACUCACCGAGAUAGGGUCGGGUCAAUCGUACCCGUCCUGCCUCACUUAUCAUUUAAUUUUCUGUAAAAAAAUGAUUUAUACUAGUUUAAUUUUGUAUUUUACAUAUUCAUAUAAGAUUUAAUAAAUAUUUUGUUUCUCAAAAAAAGUCUCUCACUAAGAAACAAACAUGCGAAAAGAAUACAAGAAAAAUCUACAAAUGAUUUUUGUAAACAAACUAUAGUGUCUCAUAUUUGUAAUGCAAUUUGCUCAAUGAAAUUGUUUAUAUAGUUCUAAAAUUAUUAUUUUAUAGUAUGUGUAUAAAAAUAUUAAAAAAUAUGCCGGCCGUCGAGUACCUGCGAAUUUUUAAUUAUGUAACUUUAAUCCGCCCAGCAUUUAAACCAGUAUCCGACUCUCUUUGACACGAUCAAAUAAUAUGAAUCAGGUAUCCUAAUUUUCGAAUCAGAUCGGAUCGAAAAUGCGAGUUUUUUGGUUAGUGGGUAUUUUUGCUUUCCCCUACACAGAAAACGGGAAAAAAAUGUGGUUCCCCUUCCCAAAAAAAAAGAAGAGAAAAUACACUUUCGACCAUUGAAGUUUAGGCAGCUAACGAUUUGACCCCAAAAAUCUUAUCCAUGAAAGUUUUUAGCACCUGAACAUGGACCCUUUGAUUGAAUCUGCCACUUUGUAUAUCAUCUUUAGCAUUGAAGCCGUUACUAUCGAGAACACAAUUGGGUCUGUUUGAAUUGUGUUUUUCUAAAAAAAAUUUACCACAGUAUGUUUUAUGAUCUGAUAUAGGUGUGGUAAUUUUUAAUACGACAUGAAAACAUGAUAUGAAUCUAAUACGAAAUUAAUGGAUUUUGGUUGAGAUUUUACGGGUUCAGAUUAAAAUCGGGUCGAACCCAAAAAGAAAAUAGAUCGAAUUCAUAUCAUAUACGGGUUGACCCAAUAACCCGUUUAUGAAUUAAAAAGAAUUUAAUAAAUAUAAAAAUAUUUUAUCAACAAAACUAAGUUAUUCUUUUUUUUCCCAAAGGCAUUCAUCACUUAAUCCUAAAUAAAUUUGUUUAACUUGUAUGAAGUUGGAAUUAUUAUGUUUGGACAAAUAAUGCAUUACAUUAUCUUCUACUUUUAUAGUGUCUUAAUUUAUUUUAGAUCUGGUUUGGGAUAAAACACUUCUACAAUGUUUGAAUUUAUUUUAGAUCUGGUUUGAAAUUGCUUUAUCGAGAUUUUUAUUACUUCAUUAUAUUAUUAGUCUUUUGCGAAAUUGGUUCUAUUAGAAAUUACAGUGAUAAAUUAGUAAAUUGAAAUUCUGUUUUAGGUUAUAUCAGGUCAAUCUAAAAAUUUCAAGUUCAGGUCAACUCGAAAUUGACCCGCCAAUUCAAAAAUUUUAGGUUCAGGUCAGGUAUCUUGACCUAUUACGGAAUGGGGGGUCAUGUUCGAGUCAGCAGGUUUUUUGUUAUACUCGGGUCUCAAUCCGAUCCCCAGCCCAUUUCUGACCCUAUUGCCAGCCCUAAUAUGAUAUAUACAAGAUAAAAAAAAAAGUGAUUGCUAGACAUGUUUAUGAGAAAUUUCAGUAAUAUUCUCCAAGUAAUGCUCAAAUAUUAUGCAGGUAUUGUAGUUUUUUUUAAGUGUUGAAUUUUUAUUAAGAUUUAAAAUUAGAUAUUGGUCAUUCAAAGUGGUGAAAAAUGGAAAGUUAGGUGUCAACAGUUGUUAAGGAUAUUAGGAUUUCAAGUAUUACGACCAUUAUGGCUCAAGGGUGUCGGCUGCGAAGUAGCAUUUGUGGAAAUAUUUACUUCACGUUUGAUCGAUGUGCCGUAUAGUCGUGACAUUGUACUAAAAGCAAGGAUGCAAUGCAGAGUAUAUUUUCUUGUUUUUGGAUUGCAGAGGAAAAAUCUCAGGCAAACGCCAAAAUGGCAAGUGCAUGCAAUGUACACUAGAUCCCACUUUACCAAUUCAAUCCUUCACUUUUAAACGCAAUUGAAGACCUUUUUCUGUAUUUAUCUGAGUUGGAUCAAAAAUGAGAGAACAAGUAGUUUUCAUUCACCUUCUUUUCUUGCUUUCCUUUUUCCUUUAUAACAUUCGGAUCCAUAUGGAGCCUAACGGGGAAAGGGGAUGGACAAAUUAUCUCCAAAUUUUCAUCUUUAUGAAAAGUUCUUUGACCAUUGAACCUCUGUACCUUGUUUAUAACUAAUAAACUACACAGACGACGAAAUACCAAUUCCACAUGUAAACAGUAAAGUUCCUCAAUAUUCUGCUAAGAAUCGAAGCGAAAAGCGGGCAGGACUAAAAGAUGUAGUAUGAUCAACAUCUCUCUGUCUUUUGCCCUAUUUGCAUUAUUGUAUGGGCAAGAUGCCACUUUCUUUGAUCCGCUCAUGACCUAUCACUGGGUAAAAAGCACCCACAUGAAUGCGUACAAACAUAUGAUAAUAGUUUUACUCCUUUUUCUUUUUUCCUUCCUUUUUCACCUCUUUGGAGCUCGAAAAUGUUGUGAGAAAAUAUGAUUUGGACUAGUUUGGUUUGUACAAAAACUACGCAGAAACAAAGGACAAUUCAUCAACUGUGGAAUGGAAGUACGCAGUUGUAUUAUGGCGAUAACUACAACUCUAGUAAAUUGUCAAAGUUUUGACUUUUACGGAAAUGGCCUCAUGUUUGAUUCAAUUGAAGAGGAUUUUGAACUAAACAAAAAACGGGCUCAUCGUAAAAUUGCUAUAUAUAUAUAUAUAUAUAUAUAUAUAUAUAUAUAUAUAUAUAUAUAUAUAUAUAUAUAUAUAUAUAUAAGUAAAUUUUAUAUACAUUGACAAUGUAUAUACUAUCAUGGUUAGAUGCACGAUAUAUAUAUAAAAUUUAGAAUUCAAAUUCAAAUUUAGAUUAUGUGCCAUGAAUCUAAUGAUAAAAUUAUAUACAUUAUCAGUAUAUAAAAGAUUAUUCCUAUAUAUAUUUAUAUAUAUCUUUGUACCGACCAUUGUCACGUUGGUUGAUUCCGAACUGAAAGAUUCACAAAACAAAAUUGCUAUAUAUCUUUGUCCUAAUCAUUGUGACGUUGAUUCUGAACCGAAAGAUUCACAAAACACAUCAAUUCAAAGCAGUAAACACCGGAUGCUACCCUCCCGUAAUAUGUUAUUGCCUUUGCCAAGUGUAUGGAAGAACAUUUCACUUCUUCUUCUUCUUCUUUUUUUAAAAAAAAAAAAAAAAAAAUUUAAACUCAAACUUUAGAACAAGGAAUCUAGAUGUGCGAUCACCGAGUUCUGUUCACCUUUAUAGGACAUCGCAUGCAAACAAACAACCUUUGGACAAGAUUCUGACUUUCUUUCUUUAAUAAUAAUAGGUGGAACUGAACAAAGAAAGAAACAAUAAUAGAUUCUAGUAAUCCUCUAGAUCUCUCACACGUGUACACAUGAGAAUCAUACGCUUAUGCUUUUUCUAGCAUCUGCAUAGAAAAUAUCUAAGGGGGAAGAAGGUAGAUUGGAAGCAAAGGAAGGGUAAAGUCGAUGAUCACUAAAUUCCAGCCUCAGCAAUCUCAUCGAUCUUUUUACAUUGUGCGCCUUUCAACUUUGAUUGAUAGCAACCGACUAACUUUUCUAUACCUUGAGUCAGAAAGGACAGAAAGCCGACUUUACCUUGCACUUGCCUAAAAAUGGGAAAGCCUAGGGUAAAAAUCACAAAACCAUUUUGGAUCACAUUUGAUUAUAGAGUUAAUUUCAUGAACUUCUCCUGAAAUUUAUCUUAAUAUCACCUAGCACCGCUAAGGUUUCCGACAUCUCUUAUAGGUCGAUCUCUUAUAAUUAUGACAAUUUGUGUAACAUUAAUGUCACCCCUUAUGUGUAAAAGCAAUAGUAUUAAAAAAUGAAACGCAUUGAAGAAGAGAGAUUAUAUUAUCUUUUUACUUUUAUCCUUGUGUAAUUUGAUUUAUGAAUUUUGAAAUUUAGAAAAAAAAUAAAUAAAUAAGGUGGAACAUUAAACUGAGAGAACGCCUCUGCGUGCAAGGAUAACUUCUAAAGCUAGUUCAACAUUUUAAAAAGGACUGAAACUUUGAGAGUUUUUUUUUUUGCAACAAGAAGGAAACUAAGAGUAUAGAUAUUGUAGCAAAGAGACACAACAAAUGUUGUCCACAAAGAGGGAAAUUAAAGCAAAAAAUUCAAGAGAUCAUUUGUAGUAUGGAGGAAAUUAAGAGCAAAGAUUUUUUGCAACAAAGGGAGAGAAAAAUAUUUUAGAUGGCAUUCUUGCUAUUUAAUUAUGGAUAUUUUAGCUUGCAGGAAUUUUUUUUUUUCUUUUUCCAGCCUUUUGCUACUUAGAAGAUAGGAAAACGUUGGGGGCAUGAUUGUCAUUUCAAUGCUUCUAAUUGGGACUUUUAGUCACAUCAUAACUAACAGGGGGAGAUAUCUGAAUUUAACCCUCGAUUAUAAGUGAACCUUCAGCUUUCCAAAGGGCGUAGUCAGUUUGCGAGAGAUGGGUUUCAUGCACGACCCUUUGGCAUGCAUCAAGAACUCCUAGCUUAGAUCUAAAACAAAAGUGCCUUCUUCUUCACAAUACCAAAUUACCACUCAGUUUGGUUCCCGUUUUUCAUCUUUAACAGUGGCAGCUCUUUCCUUUUAACCUUCUAUUGUCUUUUUUUUUUUUUUUCCUUUUGGGGUAUCGUCAUCAUUCCCAAUCCAGACGCUUUUGUAGAAAUUAAUGAUAGAAUUACUUUCACGUGAGUUUGGACAAAAAGAAUCAUGCAUUAGUUUAAUGUUUAAAAUUGAAAUCCCACAUAUUGGGUCUUAAAUCCUACCCUUCUCUGCUAAAUAAAAUGAAGAAUCGUGGCUCUCUCGAUUAUCAAGCUUCAAGUUAUCAUUCAUCACUAAGAUUUCUUAUCUUUUUCUCUUCGUUUUGUUCAAUACCCUAAGAGAUCAUAAUUAGUUCAUAGUAGUACUUUUUUUUUUUUGUGUUCCUUUAAUUUUUGGAAUCAAUCCUUGGAACAGAAGCAGACUGGCAAUCGCGCCGCCCGUGCUAUGCAUGGAAAAUUUUGCAGCAGAGCAUUUGAAUCUCAGGCAAGAAAAGAAUUGAGAUUGCUAUAACUUAAUUCUACAGAUGCUGCAAAGAGAACGAUUAACAAAUGAUGCUAUAAUAAUGGGGGAUUGCAAAGGAAACAGCCUGCAGCGACUGUUUGUUUUACUAGUAAGAGGGUAGCUCCUGCAGGUUGGAUCUAAAUAGGAUUAUCAGUGGUUCCGUUUCGGAAUGUUUUUGUUUACUUGAGCAAAUUGUAGGCCUUUCCUUCAACCAUGUAAAUCACUGAAAACACAAUAUAAACUUCACAAUAUUUUAUAUAUGGACCCAGCACACUGUGCUAAAGGAAAAAGCGGUAAAGUACAUGAUCUGAACCUUGUAUAUAAAGUAAAUCUUAUGUAUAGAAUUCUGUUACGGCGGUGAAUUUUGUUAACUUUAACGAAUUCUGUUAGUUUAUAAUGUAGUUCAAAACAUGAGAUGUCGUUUUAUAUGUUUUGAAACCACGGAGGACUUUUCUGUGUAUUAGAUAUAUUACAGAGGGUUUUUUUGUUUCUUCCGAAAAAUGCUGCUGCUACGACCGUUUCUGUCCCUAAUUCAUCUAAAACAAAAGGAUCCUUUGAUUGUAAAUAGUUUAAGCACACGUCGUUUUUAAAGCGUGGUCGUACUCAUUUUAUAUUUGAAAUACAUAAUCUAAAGAAGCCUUUUAGUUCAUUUUUCUUUUGUCUUGGAUGAGAAAGCUGCACCACAUAUGCGUAAAAAUCGCACAAACAUCCCUCCUUUCUCUCAUAACGAGAAGUUACUCCGUAAUUAAAUGCCCUUGAUUUCGCUUCCUUCACCCAAUGAGAGUAUAGUGCUGCCUGCUGCGAUUGAUUAGCGGCAAGAUCAGUAGUCAAUAAUGGUAGCAUGCUCGAGUUUUUCCCCUCUUCCCCGGAAGAUGAAUCCUUUAGCAUAAUUAAUCAUCUGGAUGAUUUAGAACGUGCAAAAAAGCACCAUAAUAAAAUGAGCUUUUUGAGAGUUUUAUUAUAGAAAUAUAUAUUGUAGCAAUGUAAUGUAUGUGAAAUUAAAAAAAAAUGUGAUCGAAAAAUGUAUCAAGAGAAUUUUUUUUUUAUUAAAUUCUUUUAACAAGUGUCCCUGAUCACUCAAAAGUACAUUCAAAUUAUACCCAAUAAAUGGGUAGGGUCAUUAGCUUGUGAGGUUCGAGGUUCGACUCUCAAUCCCUCUCCUUUCCUCGUUCCCCUUCCAAAGGUUUGAAAUCUUGCUUCGAGCUAAAAAAAAUUAUGCGUAACUUACUAUGUAGAUACACACAUUUACAUUUAAUGCACCUCAUGUAUUUGGACAUUUUUCCAAAUUAAUUUCACUACUGUCAAAAAAUUAACACCUGAGACCCGAGUAGACUCUCUUGUAGUCCUGAGACACCUGUUAACCAAACCCUUGUUUAUUAAGCAAUACGGUUUUACAUGCGGAAUAUUAGUGUAUUAGAUGAUAACUUUGAAUGGUUGUAUUGCUUUUAGAAGCCUAAUCAUGGUACAAAUGGUAUAAGUUCUUAAAGAUCACGUUCUAACAUAUUUCAGCGAUGUACGUGCACUCUAAAGUGAUCUAGGAAGAUGGAGCUGCAUGGCCAAAAGGAAAAGCUAGAUGAGUAGUCUAUUUUUUUUUUUUUUUUUUUUUUGAGGUUUCAAGCAAAACCCGUUGUAUAAGGUUUCUGAGUAUUGCAAUAAUCAAUUGAAGUUUGAAAAAUUAGAGAAACCUCCCCAGACAAUAAGCUUUGGUAAUAGUUGAUGAUGUAAGCACAAAAAAAUCAACGAAUAUCCUAUAUUGCCUCUAUCUAAUUUUUAAAAUUUCACAGUAGUUAUUUGCUAGAAAAUUUGAUCCAUGUUUUAAAGACGCCGUCCAAACCAAACCGGAAAAUCGAAAAGCUGGGAAAUCCAGCGUACUAGGUACCUGACCCACAUGGAUAUCCUAUGGCCUAGGACGGGGGUAUCCUAUGGCCUAGGACGGUUACGAUUCGAUAUUUUGUUGAAUUGUUAGAACUAGGUUGGGUCACAAUAAUAUCAUUCCAUGGGUCUUGGUAACCGACCCAUGAACACCUCUUCUAUUAGCUGAUCAACUCUUUGUAAAAUUGAGCAAAAACUCGAUUCAGAGGAAUUGAAAAUUGAAUAUAAUGUACUAGAUCAUAUUACACUAUAACUUUUUGAUAAAAAGGUAUUAACGAGAAAAUGUUUCCUUUUUUAUCUUUAAAUUCAAUUUUUUUAUUUAGAAUUUGUAAAUUUUGUGAAAGCUAUUAUAGUAUUUUCAUAUAACACCAAAGAAGAUAAGUGUAAUUUUUUUCAAACUUUAAGGAAGGCGAACGCAAUUAUUAAAAACUUCAAAUUUAUCAUAAAUAACGUAAUUAUCCCUAUUAUCAUUUUGAAUCGGUAAAGAGAAUUGUAACAAAUUGUAAUUUAUCAUAAAUAACUCAUAAACUUGAGACAAUUUUUAGUAUUGCUCGUAAUCAAAUAAAUGUCAAUAUAUCAAUGAGUGUGUCUGGACAAGAGAUUAUUUAUUCAAAUAUAUUUAUUUACAUCAUCAUUACAAUUUUUAAUAUAUUUUUUUAUCUCACAUAUAUUACAAUACAAAAAGUGUUAUCUCAAAUAAUUUACUAUUCAAACACACUCAAAUGGACAAUUAAUCUGGACGUACAUUCUGAAGUCUUGAAUUUUUAACCAUACCACGACCUUCCAUCAUUUGAGACGGCCGUCAACUGUUGCAGCCUUGACUUACACGACGAGUUAUCACCAGUCACCACCAUACAAAAUCCGUGGAUAUGAGGUGCUGAUAUGCACAUUGUCCUGGCCAUAAUAGCCCUAGGUGAGAGGUGCGACUCAAGUGGCAAAAUUGUAGGCCCAUAUUUGAUUUUAUCAAAAGCUAGAGUAUCCUCAAUUCCCUCGAAUAGGGAUUUUGUGGGAUGGCCAUGAAUUGGCCAAAAAAAAAAAAAAUUUAAGAUUUAGAUCACAACUUGUGCAUUGAUUUUAAUAUCGUGUGUGUGUGUAAGAUUCACAAAAUUUUGUUCUAUAAUUACUAAUAGUUAAAAAUGAAUUAAAUCAUGAACAAAUAAAAUUACAUCUUGUAAAAUUGAAACAAAACUUGUCCAAACAAUUUGUCUGGCAACCAUUUGGACCCUUGGUCCUUAACUUCUUCAGGUGCUGAGGAGCAGAGUGAACUGUUCCUUCGCCCAUUACUGAAGAAUAUGGUGUGCUCGACAGAACAAGCUGCAUACGCCUAUUUUUGAAGGGUGCUUUUACUCAAAACCCUCUACAAAAAGAAAAGGAAAAAAAAUAGUGAUCAAAGUUAAUUUGAAAUUACAAUUUUUUUUUAAUAAAGAAGUGAUCACACCUAACUUGAGACAUCGAAGGUAAAUUUAAAGACUCUGACUCUCAUCCAGCUGCAGUCGAGCUAUCGAGGAACAUAACGGCUGAUCAAUCUUUGUUAUGGAACAUAACUGCUAAUACUACGUACAACUUUAGACCGAUCGAUAUCUCAAUCCCAAGUGCAAAUUGGUUGUGGCAAUGGAUAAUGGUCCAAAAGGGGAGCAUCACUCAGAGAAGUCCAUAUCGGUUAGAAGAAGAUACUCUCAAUAGCCAAUGCACCUCAAGUUGGAGCUCCCAUUGGCAUGAUCUGCAAAUCGACCCUCAAUUUGGAUAGUUGUGUGCAGCUCAAGGCAGGACCAUGUAAUAAUUAACUUCAAACUAUAGAGAAUGAAGACAAGUUAAAGCAAAGAUUUUCUCUUGACAGUGGUCGAAUGAAAAAGGUUCCCGUGUUUGUUUAUGCUCCUGCCGUUGAGUUAAUCAAGUUUAACAAAUUGAUCAGCGAGAAAUAUAUAUAUAUAUAUAUAUAUAUAUAUAUGAUGUUGCUGCCUAUUUUUUCUUCACAAAAUAUUUGAGGAAAAGAAACAUAUAUAAUCUGUAAUUUGAUGUUCUUUUAUGAUAGAGCCAGCGUUGCUAAUGGUUCAAAAGAAUGCUCAAUAGAUAGAGGAGUUGAGAAACAAUUACCAGUGCCCGAAUUGAAGUACAAAGAUCCAAAUGAAGUGUACAUUAUAAAUGUAUCGUUGUAUAUUUGUGUGUGUAAAGUCUACAUCCCAUACACUGCUGCAUGCAUCGCUGUGAAAGUAGCAAGAAAAUUUGGUCCCGCUACUCCUAUUUGGAGUUGAAUUUGAAUAAAACCGGGUCGUCGAUUGGAAGAUUAUUCUUCUGUUCUGUACCUUCGCUUUCAAUGGAACAACCUGGACUGAUAAUCGACAUUUUCUGCUUUAUGGGCUCUUAUUAUUAUUGUUAUUUUUUUAAUUUAAAGGGCUCUAUACAAAUGCAAGCUUGCAAGAAUAAUUGAUGUGCUUCUUGAAAGAAGACUCAAAAGAAGUCAUAAAUAGAGAGUGACGAGAUUCCUGCAGAAAUUGGGCUUUUGUUUCAAUUGUGUACAAAACAUCCUCGUAGCUUAUCUCAAAAGGCUAUGUGAAGUUUUAUAUGAUUAGAGUACCUAGUGAUUAAUUUCACAGUAUUACAUAGAAUGAGUCCCUGACACAAAAGAGAAUUCUCUUUUGUGAUGAAAAACCAGAUCAAGUUAAUGCUGCUAUUGCCAUAACGUCAAGUACUCAGGUGUAUAGUUCAAUUGCAUAGACUAUGCUAAUUGCUUGCUGGAGCCAAAUGUCGUGACACAUCAAAGGGUUAAGUAUACUCGUCCUGUUAAGUAAAUAUAGCUCCAUGGACGUUGCAUAAUUGGUAAAACCUCCAGAGUCAUGAUCAGAUGCAGUUAAUACAUAUGGUUUAGCCCUCAAACUUUAAAAAAAAAAAUAAAAAAUCACUGCCAACUUCGUUUUCCAGUUUGGGGCAAGGGAAGGAAGUAAUUGUUAUUAACGCAUGUGUUUGGAUUUUUCAUUCGAAGCCUUCAAGAUUAUAGACUCUUUUUCGUGCUUGAUAAGCUUAAAUCUUGGUAUUCUAAUUUAACACAAUUUCAAGCUAUUAAUGUUAUAAAUACAAUCUAGUGGAAGGCAUUAUCGAAAACAAAUUUGGGAAUUUUAGCUAAACACUUGCUUGGAAAUAUAGAUAAAUUAAAGUGCAGUUUGUCAACAUUGUGGUGGACAAUUUAGUCAAAUAUCAACAUUAAGUCACUAACACAAUAAAUGAGUCACCAUACAAAAUAGAAAUGUAUAAAAACACAACAAAUUUUGCUACUUGCCAAAAGUGGUGUCAACGGAAGGUUAAACACUCGGUAGGAAAUAGAUAAAUUAAGGGAUACUUUUAAAAACCUCUCUUAAGGUUUCUGACAAUUUCACUUGAUUCUUCUCGAGUUUAAAUAAUUACACUUAUGUUUCAUGGUAUAGUAAAGUACCUAGAAAACGUUCCAAUUUCUCUAUCUCAUGUCUAUUUCUACUCCUCUAUUUCCUAGUUAUUAUACUCUUAUUUGUUAUCUUUGAUUUUAUGGAUAUUAGUAAAUUGAAAUUGCAAAAUCAACAGAGGGAACAGAUCAUGUGUUAAGUACAUAUGCUAUAAAUUUCCCAAAAGAGAAACAUUAGGAGAUUCUAGAUUAUCCAUUCCUUUGUACCUCUAUACUCUACUCAUUUCAGGCGAGAUAAAGAAGCAAUACAAAUGUAGAUCAUUUUCAACAUAAGUUGACUCAAUUAAUAUAUAAGAAUGAAACAUAUUUUUACAAAAAUGAAAUAUUAUUGAAACUUAUAUGUGACCCUUGGAUGGAUAGGCAAUUUCCUACAAGUGACCUUUACUUCUGAAACAUAUGUCCUAACCGGUGAUGUUCGGAUCGCGAAGCACCUACCUUUUUCCUACCCAAAAAAUGUGGAUCAUGAUCGUGCAAAUUGGUGAAAAGACUUUUAGGUUUGUUGAUUAUGGUGAGAAAGUGUACGAAGAGGUAAUAAUGGCCAUCCAUGAUAGUGAUGCAGCGCGGUCUAUCUGUACGGACAUCUCAUCGUCCACAUAAUAUGAAAGAAAAAAAAAAAAAAAGAAAAGCCACACCCACCACAGGCGAGGCACAGCUCCCCGUCGUCAUUAUUUCUGUAUAAACAAAAAAAGAAAAAGAAAAAGAAAAUUGUAUUCUAGUUGAACAGGAAUAUUUCUUCAUUAAACUAAAACUCACGUUCUCCUUCAGAACCAAACUUAGGAUAUCCACAGAAAAAGAAAACAAAAGAAGACACACAUUCUCCAGUCUCUCUCUCUCUCGCACACACACACAAAUAGUCUACAUUUAGGCCGCUCAGAUUUUUUUCCUCUCCUCUUAGGUUUAGGCAAAUGUGGAAAACUGAGGAUAAAAGAAGCGAUUGGUUUUGCUAUAAAAGGGAAAGUGGACUUUCCUUUCUUGACAUGGGGCUUCUGUUCCCAAUUCUUCCCUCCCUCUCUCUAAUUGGUGGCUUCUUUUGAUAUUUUCGAUUCCAUAUAGGAUAUAUUUUUUUCUUGUUUGGAAGCUGGUGUUGUGUGUGAGGAGUUGAGCUCAACAGUGGUGUUAAGCUAAGAGUACAACUGUUUCUUACUCAGCGCACGAAACAAAGAACAUCUCCUGCAGCUCCUCACCCUCUCACUCCAGUACCCAAUAAGGUAAACAGUACCGAUCCCCCCAACCCCCUCAAUAUCCUUGCACACCCCAUCUCCCACUCCCCAGCUUGCAUGUUAAUGAACAUCAAUUGGUGGGCUUUUCUGGGUUUUUUCGCUCAGAUCUGUACUUGUAUUCUUUCUUUAGGGUUGCUUUUUGCUCACUUAAUCCUCCUCCUGAUUUCCUUGGAAAAAAAUUGCACCUGCCGGCGACCACACCGACCUUUUUGCGCCUCUUUCCUGUGCCCGUUUCUAUUUAAUACUCUCUUUUCCCAUUGCUGCAUAAAAUUAUUUGCCAAACCCACUGCUCGUGGUACCACACUACUAUUGCAACAUCUUUGAUGUUCUUUUCCCUCUGGGUGUAAUUAUCAAGGCGAUCGAAAAGAAAAAAUGGCGAGAGAGAAGAUCAAAAUCAAGAAAAUCGAUAACAUCACGGCGAGGCAGGUGACCUUCUCCAAGAGGAGACGAGGGCUUUUCAAGAAAGCUGAAGAGCUUGCUGUUUUGUGCGAUGCUGAUGUUGCCCUCAUAAUCUUCUCAGCCACUGGCAAGCUCUUCGAGUUCGCUAGCUCAAGGUAAAUCUAACCCUACCCUAUAUAUAAUCAUAUGGUAUACUAGUAACUUUUUAAUGCAAAGAUGAGAGCUGGGGUGGCUUCAUUAUCAUGUUCAUAUAUAUACACACACACACACACAAACAGAGACAGUAUUAGAUGUGUCUCAUUCUCCAUCUCUCUACCCUCUUUCCUUCCGUCUCUCUUUCUAGAUAUAGGCAGGGUCUGAGAAGAUGAUGUCAGCAACAUUUUGUUGGGAAGAUCGGCUCUUCUUAAUUCAGGUGACUAGACGAUAGGGAAUCAAGACUGUGACCACUGACAUGAGAAGUGUUUAGCUCAGCUCCAAAUAUAUUUUGACCCAAAACCAAACAACAGAAAGUAAUUUACAAUAAAGUUCUGGUCUCCUUCGUUACCCCUUACCCGUACUCCUUUUAUCUUAAGUUUAAAUAUUUACCGAUAGUAGUAACAUUUAAGAAUUGCUAAAAUUAGAAACCCUAGUAAAGAUUCUUUUCAAUCUUCAAAGUUUUCUUUACUUUACUUGAACCCCACAACUUCUUUUUUUUGGCUUCUUUUUACUCAGUUUCUUAUCGACCCAGCUCUCGGUUUUCCGUUCAGUAAGUUAUACUCCUCCUAACUUACUUGAUCACAGUAAAUAGGUCUCACUUGUUCAAUGGAUUUCACAUUUUCUUUCCAGAAUGUCUCUCCGAUUUUAAAGGGUACUAGACUAUUUCAUCACACUAGUAAAUCGCUCUCACUUGGGUUCGCAGUUUCUUUCCAAAAUUUUCACCAGCUCCCACGUUCAGAAGUAGCUUAAUUAUUAUUUGAUCAUAGCAGGAAACUCUUCUCCAUCUUGUAUAUCAAUCUGAAACGGUACAAUUCCAUGGACCAUUCUUUUUGAUUGACUUGCUAGAAAGGAGCAUUUGAGCUGCACAAUUCCAUUAGUCUCUUCACGAAAUGGAUGGCCGAAUCUCAAAAUGUUCAGUUUAAUUUUCUCCAGGAUGUUUACUUGCAUCAGAAAUUAAGCGGUGUAGAUUUCAUGUUUUCAAAUUCUUGAUUUUUAAUUUCACUCAUAGCAUUAGCGUUUGAGAGAUGCUAAAGGGAAGAAUAUGGAGUAGUGAAACUUCCUUUUCAUGCAAUUAGAAGCUGCUAAGUUAUGAUCAUAGAAUAACGAUUAAUUUGAAAGUCUAUCUUAACUGAGUUAACUGGUUCCUAAUUAAUGGUUCUAAAAUAAAGAAACGAACCAGUCAUUAAGAUCACCAACUGGUUUAAUUGGUUCGUAAUUAAUGGUCAUAAAAUAAAGAAACGAAGCAGUCAUUUGAGAUCACCGGUCAAAUCAAUCUUAUCAUUUUCUUCACCGAUUAACCUGCCAAAACUUUGUAUUAAUUGGAUGAUACCAAAUAAAUCUAAAAAUCGAUUAUACACUUUUGUAAGUGUAAACUAUAUACACUGCGCGAUCUUUAGUUGCACGGUGUAUGUUAUUCGUUGGGACAAUAAAACAGUAAAAAUGAAAACCUUUUUGUAAAAGAAAAACUUCAUAUUAAGAUACUUAAAAUUCUGCCUGGUAAUAUAGAUGCCAACGGUUGUCUUACUUCUUUUAAACAUCUAAUAUACUGUGGCAUGAUCUUGUGUUUAGCUCACUCCGAAGGAUGUCAGAACAAAUCAUUGUAGCUAGAUUUCAGCAAUGAAAGUGUUUUCCUGUCAUGUUUCAGUGGCUGCAUGUGAACUAUCUUUUAAGGUGUAGCUAUUAGAAAUUAAUGUUUGCUCACAAAAUCAUCUUUCAUCCUCAUGUGCAGCCACUGAUUAACUUAGCAUCAUUUUGGUUCAACUUCCUAUAUAGUACCUUGUCUUGCAGCUUAUUCAAAAGUUGCUUGCAUUAAAAAAAUUCGCUUGCCAUAUCGCUAAAAUAUGUCUCAGUUGGUAGUUUCGUUGGAUCAUUGCAUAAAAUGGCUCCACGCUAACAGACAACCACAAGAAAAUACUAAAAAUGGUCACUUGGACCAAAUUCUGUCUAGUUUCUAGGAGCCUGUAUCCAGUCCACUUUGGAUUCUUUCUUACAUGAGUUCCCUUUUUUGUGGUUUGUCUACUAUCUAAAUUCAAACGCAUAUUUUGCAAUACCUGGAUAAGGCAUGCAUAUGUCUGUUUUGUGGGGUCUAACCAGUAGAUUCGUGAUAAAGAGGUAAGAGAAAUUCCAUUGUAUUUCCCUAGUCUCUGAUAUGAUAUCAAAACUUCACUCAGGUGUGCCUCUUGUCAGUUUUUGUACUUGCUUCGGUCAUAUGUGUAAGUUCUGGAUACAGGAAGGAAUUUCUGUAAGAUUAAUAGUAUUCGUAAAAAGAUUUCUAGUCUAGGUCUGAUAAUGGGCGAGUCAUGGCUUCUAGGUUUGAGUAUACUUGACCGCAUUUUUGUGUACUCUUCUGGCCUUUCCUUAAAAAGAUUUCACAUAUGCUUGUGCACAAGGCUGGAAAUCACCAUUUGAAUUUCUCUUCUCUCCUUUAUGCUUUAAUCAGUGGUAGGAUUUAUUUUUGGUUGGGCUGAUAACUCAAUGGUUGACUGCAUAGUCCAUGAUAUGACAGGUUUUGCAAUUAGACUUGAGAUGGCAAAAAAUAAAAACUCAAACAAGCAUUUUUACUAGCCAAAGAUAAAAAGAUUAAAUUCACUUUGAAGAAAUAUAACUCAAGGUCACCUACUUUUAAUUAGCUAAUGUAAUUAUAUUGUAACCUAUCAAUGACAAGGUGAAUUUUCUGUACUUGUAAUUUUGUUUUUCUUUAAACAGAUCUUUACAUGUAUUUCAUUUUAUAUCAUACUUCUGAUAAUGUUUAUCUCUCGGUGUAAUGAACAUGUUUUGUGUUUCUUUCUGACAAAACUGAAAAAAGAAAGAAAAAUUACAGUUGGAAAUGAUUGCAUGUUGUAGAAUGGAUGAAAGAGAUCUACAGUCAACUAAAUGUUAGGAAGAGGAAUGUGCUAUGGAACACUUGCAUGGUUGAUGUCAUAAAACUACCGGUUCAAGUAAUGAUAACAUAACUUUCCUUCUAUUUGCACUGAUUUUUUUUUAACCAUAAAUUUCUAAUCAUAAAUGCCUCAGCAGCAUGUUGCAUCCCCGAGGCUUGCAUUUUUUGGGAUCCUUGAGCUUCUUGCUUAAAUACUUCUUACUCUAUAUUAGUCUCUCCAGAUCUUGAAUGGACCUGUGAAUUUGGUGGAAUGGUUUAGGUUGUAGCUUGUAUUUGCUUAAUACAUACUUAUAUAUUAGACAUCCCAGUCCAGAGGUUUGAAGCUUCGACUUUCUUUGAAAAGGCGUUGGAUCAUGGUGAACAGCUAACUACGCUAUCGAUUACGUAAAUGUUUUGAGUUUGAAUAUCUUUCCAAUCUCAUAGAAUCUCUCUUCUACUCAAUUAAUUGAGAAAUAUUGUAAAAGGUGUCUCACACGUUCUCGUGAGGCAAAUCGAGUCUUUUGAUUUACUUUAAUGCUAAUGGCCAACCUUUGCAAAUAACUGAUAGUUGUGCUGACUUUCUAUUCAUUGUCAUGCUUGUUAUAUGAUAACUAUGGCUUUGUGAUAUGUAGGGCACUGUAUUUUUGUCCUGUCAUCAUGAAUUAUAAACUAACAGGUCAACUAAGUAACUGUUUUGAUAAAAUUGAAAUCUGAAUUGUGAAAAUUAAAUAUUGACCCCUUUUGACAAGUGAGUUUUUUGAAUAUUUGUCUAAAACUUUACUAUAAUUUACUGUAAAAGUUUUUUAAAAAAUUUUGAAAGUGUGUAAAUUUUGAAUAUUUUAAAGUGUAUAGUUUAAAAUUUUUGAAAUUUUUUUUGAAAUUUGUAGUUAAACUUGGGAAAAAGUUGCCUGCCAAACAAGGCCAUUAAAAGUAUUGAGUUGCUAAAUUAUUUAAGUUGUAUCGUUUGAUAAUUAACUUUAUAAAACUGAAUUCAAAUAUCACAAAUAUUUUUUGACAAUUUUAAAAAUUGCCCUUAUUUGUAUAUUUGGAAAAAAAGAAAAAUGUGCGUAUGUGUGUGAGAGAAAAAAUAAUGAAGUAAUUUAGAGGUGGUAUUUAAGUAUGUGCAUUUGCAUGUAAGAGGUGUGUCUGCAUGCUUGUGUAUCUGUGUGUGUUGAAUAUAAAGGAAAUAAAUGUGUACCAAGUGCUAGAAUACUAUGAGUGUGUUAUGUGUGUGAGUGGCAUAGUAUGUGUAGUCAAUUCAGAAGAUUUAGUGAAAUUUUGUUACUUAAAAUUUUAUACCCAAAUUAAGGUGUGCUUAAUAAAUUAAGUGGUAAGGUAUUUCUGUUAUCAAACAUGCUGAAUUCAAAACUCUGAAUGAAUUAAUUUUCAACAUUAAGUGGAAUUAUCAAACAGACUAAUAGAACUUAAAACUGAACAGAUUAUUGCAUUUUUAUAUUCUAGGGAAUCUAUUUUAAAUAUUGUAUAGUAAAAACUAUAAAAUUAGGAUUUAGAAAUUAGAGGUCCUAGGUUCAAAUCCUAUCGAAUUGUCAAUCUCUCCUGAUUUUAAGUUAGUAUAUGUCCUACUAAAUGUGAGGAUUAGUUGUAAUAUCAUGUAUUGGCUCCAAAGUCGUGAGUUACAUGUAAUUUUAUUAAAAACAAAUGCUCUUUUCCUUUUCAUCAAUCAAAUAUAACUUGAGAUAAUAAGCAUAGCAAUUUGUUAAUCACAGUUGUAAUCUAUAGCAGAAACUUGAGGUGUUUUCAAAAAUAGAGGUAAUGUUAUCUUCAAUCAAAUUCUUUUGUAAAUAUCUAAUGCCUAUAUUACUUUUGGUGUAAUAAGUUGUGUACUAAAAUAGGAUUUUGGAAAAUGAAUUAUAAUAUGUUAACUCAAAGUAAAUUUACUUCACUUUCCUUCAUAUGUAAAAGUAAAGGAACUCUUAUUAAAAUAAAAAUGUCAAAUGCUCUCCAUAACAAAAAUUGUCUUUUAGCUGUUUGUAUUUUCUACUUUUACUUGGGCUUUAAAAUUUGUGGUGGAUGAGUUUAGUAUGGGAACAUGGUAUCAUCUGACCAUGAGUGGCUCUUUUCACGAUCCUUACCUUUUAAAUGCUUUACAGAGAAGGAUUUUAUUUUUAUUUCUCUUUUUUUGUGGUAAUGUUUCUUCAAAGUAGCGUCGGUUGAAGUUCUCUGACAUAUUGUGAUGAGAGAACAUCACAAGUAACUCAAGUCUCCUGCAUUUUUGUGCAGCAUGAGUGAUAUCCUUGGAAAGUACAAGUUACAUUCAAGUAACCUCGAGAAGAUUGAGCAACCAUCGCUUGAGCUUCAGGUAUUACAACAUGGCGUUGCAUCUGUGUUAUCUUUCUUCUAGAGAUCCAGUCAACAUCACGGGCUUUAUCUUGUUAACGCUUUUCAUGGUUUCCUCUAUACUCUUGGCUGUACUGAUCUCAUUACCAACAUUGCCCAACUGAUGAUUGGCAAAACUGUUGUUUCAUCCUUGAAUACAUUGGAAUAUGUCUCAUUUGUUCUGACCUUGCAUUUCAUCUAAAGAUUUCGAGAAGGAUAUUACCAAGUGCAUUGGAAAUUUUGAAUAAUAAGUGGUCCUGUUUUCGGUAUGUAGAGGAAUAUUUUACGAUUUCUCUUUGGUUGUAAAGUGACUAGGUGAACUUUGUUUCGUCUAGGGUGCUCGCGAAAUGACAAGAUGAAAUUUGACUAAAUAUUUUUGAGUCGAAAAUAUCGACUCUCUUUAAUACCUACUUUUAAGAUUCUUUUUAACAAGCUUGUUGAUUUUGAUAUGCUGUGAAUGGGUGCUGCUUUCUUCAAUCGAUGCAUUAUUCGGUUUUACUUUGCCACACGAUUACAUUAAACAAAGUCUAAUCUGAUUUGGAUGUUUCAUUGCACUACGAGAUUAGCUUAUGCUCAAUUGGGACAAAUGAAAAUGUACUAAACUUAAAUUGUUGUAAAGCAAGAUGAACCAUUGGGGCUGUCGGUGAAAUGUUGAAGAUGACUGAUGUGUAUUGUCCCUAAUGAAGUUUCUUCCUUUAGCCUCCUUCCCUUCUCUACGCUAGGAUUUGUUAGUACUCAGCCUUAUGCAUGCAUCUGCUGAUUAGGGUCAAGCAAAUUUAUCAUCAUUCCAUACUCCUCUUCUUUCUCUCCCUCCGUCUGUUUUUCUCAUGGCUAGCUUUUCUCCUCAUAUAUGUCUGUUAAAUGUAUUUUGCUACUUUACGCCAAAACCAAAGUAAGCCAUUCAUCUUUUUCUAGUUGUUCCAAGAAGUGCAAGUGCAAGUUUCAUCGAGUAUUUCCAUUAAUUGCUGUGUAUGCAUAGUGAUCCUAAUUUUUCUUGCUCAUUUUAGCUAGAGAAUAGUUGCCAUGUUAGAUUGAGCAAGGAAGUUGCUGACAGGACUCAUCAGCUAAGGUACAAAAUAGAAACAGAAAAUAAAUACUGUUUUCCAUAAUGGAUUUUUAGUUUUAUUUGAAUCUUAGCAAGAUGAAAUCAUUUGAUCCUGUGGAUCAGGCAAAUGAAGGGUGAGGACCUUCAAGGGUUAAAGAUAGAGGAGCUGCAGCAGUUAGAAAAAGUGCUGGAAGCAGGACUAACCCGUGUGCUUCAAACGAAGGUUCCCAGUUCACUUUCACUAGCUUUCAUCUAAAAUUUAGGAGGGUCGCAAAUUUACUAACCUAACUUCUUCAUGUUAUCUUAAUUCUAGGGUGAACGCAUCAUGAAUGAGAUCAAUGCCCUUCAAAAGAAGGUUAGAGUUGCAGACACAAACUUUUUCCUAUUAAUGCAUUUCAGUAAUUCUUUCUUUUGACAACUCUGGUCAGUAGUAAUAGGCCUCUAUAGUCAACAUUUAUAAGCAUCAGUUCCUAUACUAAGCUUAUAAGUCGCCUUUUAUCUUCUGGCAGGGUGCAGAACUGUUUGAAGAAAAUAAGCAACUGAAGCAAAAAGUACGAUCUUCUACUUAAGUAUAAAUAAGUUUUCGCUGACAGGUUAUAUUAACAUUGUAGCUGAAACUUUUGGCCACACAGAUGGCAAUGCUUUAUGAAGGGAAGAGGCCAGUGAUUCCAGACUUGGAUAAAGAUAUGCUGAUAGAAGAAGGCCAAUCUUCAGAGUCCAUUACCAAUGUUUGCAGCUGCAACAGUGGCCCUCCUCCGGAGGAUGACUGCUCAGAUACAUCACUCAAACUAGGGUAAGUGUCUUUGUACUGCCGGUGCUUCCAUGCUUGUCAGUGGACUAAUCUCUAACUUCCUCCAUAAACACAUCUACUGUUUUAUAAACAAUUGCAAGUUUAGCCCUGGUUAUUGAGAAUUGAACAAUUCGCCAAUCUGCCUCUUAAAUGCGCUGGUGAGGUUAAUUCUCUGUGCUUGAGACAAUUCUAAAGUUGGAUAGCUUUGUACAGUGAGGAUUAACUUCAUCUUUGCUAGUGAUGAAUGUUUCUAGAGGAAUGUUUAGCUAAAGUACUUCUUGAGACGUGCAAUUUAACUGCAAAUUUUCUAGCACUAGAAUAAAUGAAAGUAAUAGUUGAAUAAGUCUAGAAAUUCGAAGUAGUUUCAAAUUUAUUGUCUUUUUGACUAGCUCAAGUAUGUUGAGGUUUGUUAGGAAAAGAUUCAUGUAGAAUUGUUUCUUGCACUCUUUCUCUCUGUCAAAAGAGAGCUGUUUAAUGAGAAAUCUGAGGUGUUUUUCAGCCUUCAAUACCAAGUCUUGAUAUCCAUUUUUAUGCUCUAUUUUCCAACAGUACUCUACAGACCAAUACCUUCUGAGGUUCUUCGUGAGAUCUUUCUCUGACUAUAGUAUAUUCACCUAUAUACAUUGGCAUUAUCCUGAGUACUUUCUCCACGUUCUUGUUACCGUUCUCUAUUACUUGUAAUACACUCUUUUUUUUCCCUUUCAGGCUACCCUUUAACUAGCCGACGGUGGACAGCUUAUGGGGACCUACCUUUAAAAAUUACUAGUAACAUGGGAUCAAGAAAUGGAGCUCUCUCCAUCUAUAUGUCUAUAUGUUAUCCAAGAUAGUGGUAAAAGUCUAUGGUAGUAUUACUCCUGUCAUAAAAUUAAGAGUCUGCUGUGUAUGGCUGGCUCGAUUGCCUCCAAAGUCCUAAGGUGCAGUAAAAAAGCUCGUGUUGCUUGCACCUGCUUCAACCAGAACUCAAGAUUUGUACUCUCUUGUAUGAACUUGCUUCCGGGCUUCAGCUGAAAAGUUAAUCCUAAUAAUAUGAAAUACUACUGGUUGAACUAUUUAUCUAGAGAUGGCAUGAAACAACUACUAUAGUGAAAGGUAUAUUUCCUAGCUUGCCCGGAUUCCACCGAACAAGUAAUUACGCUAGUCUUUUAAAGACUUUGUUUGUCGAUUACCAAGUACAAGCGAGGAUGAAGAAAUGAAACUCGAAAUUAUAUGAGAUGGUUUUGGGCACGAAUAUCUAGAAAUAAGGAUUUCUAUUCGGUUCAAAUUGAUUGAUAUAUUCUUUUCUACUUUUAGUAUAAUUUCAAAACUUUUAAUUCAUAUAACAAAAUUGGUGUAAAAUUUACGAUUAUACAAAAACUCUACGAGUUUGUAGCAAAGGUAACAAGAAUUAUACGAAUCAAUGUAGGUUGGAUAUGACUUUAACUUGUAAGACACUUGGAUCCUAAAUAUCCACCUCAUUGGAUAUGACCAGAAGACGAAUGAAAUUCAAAGCGCUCAAAAUGGUCAAAAUUCCAUAAGCCAAGAGAACUAUAAAUGCAAAAAAUUAUCUAUUAAUAUACUUGUUCCAUAAAGUAUGAAUUAUGUGUUUUUGGACUGCCAAUCAUUGUUAGUAUAAUAUAGAACGGGUAUAAUAUAAACUAUAAUAGUACAUAUUUAUAUUAUACAGAUUUUUCUUCAAAUGUAUGAUUAGAAGUUUGGCACAAAAACACGAGUUCAGCAAAAACUCAGACAUGAAUAGUACGAAUAUAUUUGAAAUUUAUGAAGCUAAAAUAAUUUGUUUGGAUAGAGCAUUAUUCCAAAUAAUUAUUUGCAAUAAUUACUGCAACACUUUUUGUGAUGUGAUGUAUGUGAGAUAAAAAUGUGGUUGAGAAUAUAAAAAAGUAAAUUGAAAAAUGUGUUUGUAAUACAAGCGAAAUUUUUUUUUGGAAAAAUUUGCUAUAUAAACAUAUAAUUUUUAAAUAUUAUGGUACAUAUACCACUUUUUAACUCUUACUCUUGUAUAUUAGCCACUGAAUUUAUUAAGAUUUUACCACCCCAUCAUGUGUGCGUGUAUAAAUAUAUAGAAAAUAAUGACGUACAUAGAUGUCAUUCUACAUAUAACAUAACUGAGUAAUAAUGAUAUACACAAAUUUAAAACUUUUCCAAAUAUUUGAAGUAUAAUAUGCCAAAAGUUUAUUACGUGUUUUGUGAGGUUAUAUGAAAAGUAUAACUAUUUCUAAGCCAUACAAAUUUUUUUUUCUGAAUUAUACGUACUAACGUAUAGUAUAUCAACAGUAUCAGUACUCACUAGGAACAUGAAGAUGUCGAAAUUUGCUGUGGAAAUCAAGCGUCACAAUAAUCACUUUUGGGUCCACAUGGAAUUACUCCUUACUAUAGGGGCUAAAGCAAUACUAAGGAAACUUUUUGGGGGUUACAAAUGGCAAUGUCCCAUGUUAUGUCAGUCUUUACCAUAAAUAGGCAGAGCUUUUCCCACCCAACUACAAGACGACGCUACCAUUCUGCUUUACUUUUGUAUCAGUCUUUGGGGAGUGGGAAUCCAGUGGGCCGGUGUUACCUUUUCAGGAAUCUCUUGAUGCUAGGGAUGACAACGAGGAUUUUUAGGGGGGAUCCCUCCCCGUCCCCAACCCGUUGCCAAAAACUCCCCCUCCUCCCGUUUUCAUUCCCCCACCCUCUGCCUUGCCUCGCUUUUCCUGCGAAUGUCCACGGAUGAUAAUUUGGUUUUUUUUUUUCUAACAGCUUGUAUUCAAUAGAUCAAAACUAAAUUCAAAGAAUAAAAUAAAAUAUGAAACUGAAAAAAGUGAAAAAUUAAAAGUGAAACAAAAAAAGUGUUGAAAUAAAACACCAAGAAAAUUAAAAACUCAAUUGGAUUGUAUAGAUAACAUUUGGGAAUACUUAUAGAAUACGUAAUAUGUUUGUGCUAAAUAUCAAUUAGGAAUUUGGAUAGAAAUGAAAUAAAGAUUAUAUUUAGUUGUCAAAUAUUUUAAAUUUAUUAUUAUUAGAUUAUAUAAUAUAAUAUAUUUAUUUAUAUUAAUAAAUUGAAACGGAGAACGGGGCGGGAGUUGAUCCCCGUCCCUCACCCCAUUUAAAAUGGGAGAGAAAAAUUUUCUCUCGUUCACGCCCCAUUACUCCCCUGCAGGGGCAUUUGCCCUGUUGUCAUCCCUAAUGCUAACCUUAUAAAAGUGAUGAGGUUGGGGUUUGGGCCAUUGCCUUGCUAAAGGACGUCCAAACUCUCUUGGUCUGGGCCCUUGUUAUAAGGCCUGUAAAACAUGGUCGACUCCACAACAUUCGGAAUCUUGAAUUUUUUUGUUAACUUUGUCAUGGUUCAAUCGAAACUCUAAAUCUUAAAAAUUAAAAUGUAAAGUGGGAAGAUCUGAGAGUUAAACUAAUAAUUUCAUGGUCAACUAGCUAAUACUAUCACUAUCAACUUUUUUUUUCAUUUUUUUUAGCAGGAGAGAAGCGGGAAGGGGACAGAGAUUUGAAUCUAGAAUCUCGAUCCUUAGCCACUAGACCAAAAUCUCAUCGAUAACGUCACAACCAGUCUUUUUUUUUUUUUAUUACUACAUAAAACAAACAGAUGAGGGAAUGAUGUUUCAAAAGUCACAUGUCAGAAAAUUUUGAGAAUGCAAUCUAGUUCAGGAAUUUGAUUGUGAUUGGUAUUGGUUGCAAAAUAGGGGGCUUUUUUUUUGAGGGAUAAAAAAUUAGGGGGCAAAAUUUGGGCCAAUAAGAUGAGGAUUGGAGCCCAAAUCAUUAGAAGGGCCGAAGGUGAGUUAUAAUUUAUAUAGAUAGAGGAGGUCCUAUAGUUGGGCUUUGCAAAACCGAUUGACAGAGGAAAUAGCUACCAUCAUCGUCCUAAGACAAGAGGGGUGUUGCCAAACGUGAGAUUUGUCAUCGAAGAAGAAGCCAGGAUCGUGAAGAGAUCCAUUGAAAUCAACUCGAAGAUGAAGAACUCAAGUUAGAGGUUAACAUAGCAUAGAAUUUAAUACUAAGAUGAACAACAGAAAUCAGCAGCAAUUGCAAUCUCAAACUCGAAGAUGGGCUUUGGGAGGAGCGUUUGUGCUGCUACUACCGAAUUUGUUUCCCGGCCUCCUCACUCCGCUGGGCCGUGCUUAUCCCUCCCUCUUCUCUGUAAUGUCCCUGUCUUUUUCUUUCUUUUGUGGUCAUUUUUUAUUGCAUUUGGAAGCUUUUUUUUUUCCUUGAAUUUGAUCUCCUGAAGAGUUAGUUGUACGAUGGUUUUUUUUUUUCCUUUUAGUUUCUGGGAUUGUUGAAGUUUGGAUUUUGUUUGGCGGGGGUUUUUCCUUUCAUAAUUUGCUGAUAUAGUCGAGAUAAGUGCAUUUUUCUGUUGUUUGGACUAGUUGUAAUUUUUCGUUUGGAGAGUUUUCUUGGGGAUGCCAGGAAAUUGAGAAGACUGUAGUUUGGUGGUUUAUAUUAUGAUGAACUGAGUUUAUACAGCCCUGCUGUCUGGAUAAAUUUGAUUGCUACUUUUCCCUCUGAGCCUAAUGCAGAUUUUAUUUCGUUUAGCUAUAAAUCAUACGAUGAUUGGCUAUUUGACGAGCUUAAGAGCUUGGAAUGCUCAAACUUUUGUUGCAACUUUCUACUUGCAAAUCAGAGCAACUACUCUUUGCAUUGAUGUUUUAUGUCACACAGAGGUAUCUUUGCAAUUUUAGGAAUGGAAUGCUCCGAGACCUAUGCAUUUGGAAUUGAUGAAUGGGGCUUUACAACAACAAACAGUGAGUAGGUGCUAAGUUUAUAGCUUUGGUCCAGAAAUGAUCUUGGAACUUGGAAUUAGUAGUUCUUUUGAUCUGUUUUAUCGUUCAACUUUCAGUCUGGUGAACAAGAAUCAGAACUCUGGUCUCCUUGCCCGACCAAGGAUGGAAACGUUGUGCUGACUCACAUGCUAAAUCUUGUGAGUCCUUUCAGUUUGCUAAUUGUUCCUUGUACCUUGUUGAUGUUUCGCCAAUUUGGCUCAUAAACUUUCUUGGAGAAAUGUGGCCCAGUUUCUUUGUCUUCUGAUGGUCCAAUACAAAACUGUAUUUGCUUUUGUAGCUUUGCCCAAAAAGUCCCAGGGCUACAUUCAAGUGUUUCUUGAUGGAGGACUGAAUCAGCAGCGAAUGGGGGUAAGGUGGCUUCAGUUGUAGCUUCUGUUGUGUAUGAUAUCUUGAGUUAUCUGUGAAUUGCUUAAAAGAAUUCUAUAAUGAUAUCAAUAUGUAAUGUCUUUUAAUACUUACUUAAUUUCCCAUUUGUCCCUUUUGAAGAUUUGUGAUGCCGUAGCUGUUGCUAAAAUUUUAAAUGCUACACUUGUGCUUCCACACUUUGAAGUGAAUCCUGUUUGGCAAGAUUCAAGGUACUGUAUGCUCAAGAUUAUGCGUAUUGGUUCCUAAACAUAAACAGACACUUCUGACCUGAAAUCUCAUUUUCUGAAGUUCAUUUACAGAUUUUUGAUGCUGACCACUUUAUUGAUGCCCUGAAAAAUGAAGUCUCUGUAGUUAAAGAUCUGCCAAGUCAAUAUUCUUGGAGUACACGAGAGUAUUAUGCACGGCAUAAGAGCCACUAGAAUCAAAACAGCACCUAUGCAUGCACCUGCCACUUGGUAUCUGGAAAAUGUUUUGCCUGUAAUGCAGAGGUUUGUGGAAAUUAGAGCCCUGCAUGCUUGGUGUUAUUAGAGUGGUGGCCAAGACGUCACAUUUAAGGCUGGUUAAAUGCUUAUGCUUAUCUCUGUUGUGGAAUAUAUGUCACUACUGUUUCUUUUUUUCUUUUAACAAUUGCUGUACAAUCCUAUUACCAUUUAAUUCAAAACACUAGGUAUCUGCUAAAAAGAAUCGUUGUUUACAAGAUUGAUUGACUCAAAACCAUUUCAAAGGAAAGAACCAGUAUCCCAAUUCUUAGCAAGGCUUCUUUUUAAGGCAUCAUUUACUCAUGGAAAUCCUGGAUCAUUAAACUCUGUUCACCUGAUGUGGAUGCUGAAUUGAAGAUAAUAACUUAAAUUCUGUUCUCAGUUCUGAUGACUUCUGGGCUUCUAUUUCUUUGAAUUGACUUCAAUAAGGAAAACAUGAUGGUUGUUUGGGGAUUUUCCAAUAAUUUAGAUCAGGUGAAUCGAAAGCUGUUGAUGUUGCUGUUUUUGGUCCUUGUUAUAUGGUUCCAAUGAAAAUUAGUGCUUCCUCAUCCACGUAAUUUAUGUCAAUGUUAUAGGAGCAUAAAUAUUGUUUAUAGACUGAAUCAUAAAGAUCCCAAUCUUUCACUUCUAAGGUUUCACCUAUGAGGCGUGUUCUUUCUAUCAUCAUGUCAUUGGAUAUUGUUCUAGAAAAUAUCUACGCCAUCUGGAAGUAAAUUUGGCAAUCAUAGAUGGAUCUAGGGAGGGUGGGGCCCCACAGUUUCCUAGAAAAGAACAAUUUCUUUCUCUUUAGAAAUGGAAAAUUUUCAAAAUGUGUCCUAUAGAAGUUUAAGAUUUUCCUGUCAACAUAUAUUUUCUGCAUCCAGCUAUGCUGGUACUUGCUCUUCUUCACAACAUGUCCAGUUAGAGUAGCCUUCCUUGAUUAAAUUUUCCUACAAAAUUAUUGGUUUGAUUCGUCCCUUGAUUGCUUGUUUAGUUACGGGAUUGCAGCUAUUGCCCCAUUUUCUCACCGAUUGGCCUUCGACAACCUGCCUUCUGAGAUCCAGCAGCUUCGCUGUAAGGUUAAUUUUGAGGCUUUGGUUUUUGUUCCCCAUAUCCGGAUGUUAGCAGAGACCCUCAUCAAUCGCCUGCGGUAUGCACCUAGUGGUGACAGGGCAGUAGGCGUCUCUAACUGGCAGGAAAGAUUAGAUGAUAAGCGAAGAGCUGGAAAGUAUGUUGUGUUACACCUGCGGUUUGACAAAGUAUGAACCUUUCUGCUUUAAGCCUCUGAUAAAGAAAUGAGAGAAUGCAUUGCAUGUUCAUGUGCAUAUGGCGUUUUUGGGGGGGGGUUGGGGGAGAGGUGUAUAGCUAAGAUAAGCUCAGUCGUUGGUUUAGCAUUGUUGUGGCUUACCAACUAUAAGUAAAUAGAUUACAUUGUCUUGUGUUGUAAUAGUUCCACAUAUGAAAUCUGCUACUGAGAAGUUUUUCCAGAUAGUUCCAUGGUGCAAUUCUCCAUUGAUUACCUUCUCAGCAACUAUUAUCUAAAACACAUUUCGUUGAAGUUUGAAUGCCACAUGGCUAGGCUGGAUUUUAGAAUUGAGGUACAUUUGUGUCCUAUUGCUCAUCAUGUCGGUAUCUGUUGUGGACAGGAUAUGGCUGCUCACUCGGCUUGUGACUUUGGUGGGGGUAAAGCUGAGAAAUUGGCACUUGGAAAAUACCGGCAGGUGCUUUGGCAGGGAAGGGUACUCAAUUCUCAGUUCACUGAUGAAGAACUACGAAUUCAAGGGCGUUGCCCUCUGACUCCGGAAGAAAUUGGGCUUCUGCUGGCUGCUCUGGGCUCAAUAACAGUACCACUGUAUCUGGCAUCCCACAAGGUUGAUUGUGGAGAUUGGAACUUAAGUCAUUCUCCACUGUACUCCAAAAUGUGAGGCUUCUUGUUUCAAGAAACAAGUUUCUGAUGAUUCUUUUUUCUUGUGUCAUACAGGUUUAUGGUGGUGAAGCUAGGAUCUCAACUCUGAAAAAGCUGUUCCCUUAUAUGGAGGAUAAAAAAAGCCUUUCUUCUGCCGAGGAACGGGCUAAGGUGGACGGAAAAUCUUCUUUAUUGGCUGCUGUGGACUAUUAUGUGGGCAUGCAAAGUGACAUUUUUGUUUCUGCUUCACCAGGAAACAUGCAUAAUGCACUGGUAAGACUUGGUAAAUUAGGUUAAUUACUUGAAUCUGUGUUCUGUUAUGAUGAAUUGGAUUGCUGAUGCAACAAGAAUGAUGCUGAGUUGGAAUCUCUGGAAUCCUCAGGUAGGACACCGAACUUACAACAACUUGAAGACCAUUAGACCGAACAUGGUGCUCUUGGGCAAGCUCUUCCUAAAUAAAACCUUGGAAUGGUCAGAUUUCCAGCAAGCAGUUAAGAAUGGGCACAAGAAUAGACAAGGGCAACUCAGGUUAAGAAAAGAAAAGCAAUCCAUCUACACCUAUCCUAUUCCUGAUUGCAUGUGUCAAGCAUAGUUGAUUCUGAUCCAAACACAAAACCUUGUUUGGCCCUCUUUCUUCAUACUAUAAUCCAGGCCGGUAGUGGCUAAACAUUGAUAAUGGUAAGUGGAACUCUUUCAUCGCUGUCUAUGACUUGUAAGAGAAAGCAGAAGACUACUUGGACUUCACCCUUACCGCGAUGUGCUGUUUGCCUGCUGAUUUAAGAAGUGUGAGUACUCUUCUUGGCUCUGGAUUUUACCAGUGCUAAUAAGCCAAUUAGUCAAGUGCAUAUUCAGUUCUUCAUCGGUAGUUGCUGUCGGUGAUCUAAUAUUUUUGCCUUUCCCACCACGACAGUCUUGGCCUCCUCUGCGUGGAAUGGGACUGCCAUCCACAUGAAAAUUGAAGCUUUUCUUGGAGAAUGUAGAAGUUUUGGUUAUCAUUUCUGUUUGCGUAAUUUAUGCUUAAGUAAUCCAAUGAGGUGCAUGUAAAUCAUUACUAUGAUUCUAUGAAGUGCGUGUAUGACUAGGUCUGAAAUCAGAAGGUUUUAUUGUGAUCAAUUCUAUUAGUAGCAUAAUAAAAUAUGUGGUAUGUACCAUCGAAUUUCCAGCUCCGUUGCUUGAUUUGACACACUGACGUUAACUUGAAAGUUACAGCUCUCAAAACGACUUAAUCUAGUCAUUGACUCACUUGUGUCUGGAUUGUAAUUUUUUGGUUAAAAAUUAUAUAUUUACAUCACAAACAUAUUUUUGCACCAUAAGUGAAAGUAAUACAUAAUUACAUAUAUAUUUCAAAUAAUCUCUUUCAAAACAAAUCGGAGUAUUUUUAUAAUUUAAUAUUUUAUUAGGUAUUACCAUUACUACCAAUCUAUAUCCUCCUUUCCCCUUUUCUUCAUCUUCCCCGGCCCGGCCAUCCCCUCUCCCUCCUCUACCCCAAACCCCUCCCCCCGGCCCUUUGGUCGCGACCUUUCUGGUCAUGGGCAGAGGGGAGGGUGGUUUGGGAGGGGCAGGACGGAGGGAAGGAGAGGAAGAGGGAGAGAGGGAGAAAGGAGGCGGAUGAGCGAUGGAGGAAGGGGUGGUGGCAAGUAAAAGAGAUAGAGGUGGUAAUUAUUUUUAUUUAUUUAUUUAUAUUUUUAUUAGUCUAUUUGAGAUUUGUAUAGAUUAGAUGCUUUUACAAUUAUAUUAUGCAACAUUAUAUUUGAAAAUUUUUUUUUUAAAAAAGCUCAAUCCUCAUAGAUCCACAAUUUUAACUACUUUUUUUCACAUCAUAAAAUAUGCGGCUAAAAGUAUUGUUCCAAAUAAUCUCAUAUCCAAACAUAUCAAAUUUGUUAUCCAAUUUACUUGAUUUUGUACUGCCGUAUGGAUUGGCUAUCCUGAUUAGAGGAUUCCGCUUGCUGAUGGAAAAAGUUAUCUUAUGCAAUCAAGAGUAAAACCACUUUUAUCUCUUGGGGCUUUCAAUACAAACGGUCUUGCAAAUUCUGACCCACAAUAGAUUCCUUCUGAUAUAAGUUCAAAGAAAAAAAAAAACUCUUAACAUACUCGCAUAAACUUCUAAAUUCAAUGAAUUUUGAAUUUCUGAGUUCAAUACAUUCCCAUUUACAGGUGUUAUGAAAUUCAUAACAGUGCAAAACGCAGCUCCAAAAAACACGCUUUAUGCAUUCUGCACUUUGUUAAAAGAUAUGCCAGUACUAGACACAGAUCACUUUUCUUUUUCCUGCAAAUCACGCGGUCCUCCAUUUGGAAUUUCGCCAAUUUCAUCCUGCUUAUCUUUGCCUACAGUAGCCAACCCAUUUCCAUUCCAGCAGGCAGCUACGUCCUUGACCUCUGAUUGAGUUGGGGCUGGCCAUAUCUUCCUCAAUUGGAAGUGUCAUUUUCGAGCCUUCUAAAGCAACGCCAAGAACAAUAUUAUCUUCCAAUGUAGUCUUUGAGCUGACGCUGAUGGUAUAUGCCUUUCAACAUCUGGCAUUGCCUGUGAAGUGCUAGAAGCUACAGCUUUGCCAUCACGGCCAAAUUCUUGGACAGAUGGACGCUGUAUUCAGGUACCUUUCCUCCAGUAUUCAGACUUGUUGCAACAGCUGAAGCCUCUUCAGAACAGCUCUAUCAGCUACCUGCUUCACGGAAUUUCUUUGGCCUGGAUCAAUGGAACCCAUAUGUGGCAAGGCAUCAGAGUUGAAGCUCUCAACUGUUGCCUUUUGAUUGUUGUCAGAUAUCAGUUCUGUGGAGCCCUCAUCAUCGACUUUGUCAUCAUCAACAAUUGAUGUUGGUCCAACUUUAGCAUCCACCUUAGUCUCAGAUGUUGAGGUUGCUUCAACCUUCUCAUCUUUUUCUUCAUUAGGUUGUUCUGUACGACCUGUUGUCCUGAUUUUAUUGUCAUUAUUAACUUUAUAAGAAGGAUCAACCAGCAGGAAAGGACGAUUAGAUGCCGCUCUAGUACGACGGAAAAUGGUCUCAGAAAAUGGAAUGGUUUCCCAUCAGUUUCACCAUAUACUUUCUGCACUGUACGUAUGGGGGUGGCAAGCCGAGCUCGAUGGUGACUGAUCACUCUAAGGAGAUCUUGCAAGAUAGACUCCUAUAUUGAGGGAAUUACACUGAUUAAAAGGCUAUAUUUUCGAGCCAUUGUACAUGCUAUAAAAUGUAUUGAGACAAUAAGAUAAAUGACAAGAUGAACUCUGAGUGCAUUAUUAGGUAAACAACAACUUGUUGAUUAAAAAAAAAAUCUAGAAACUCGAGGAGAGGUACUCAAGACUUGAACCGGUACGUCACGGUUACCUACCAGUGAGCUAGGUCUUAGGGAAUGCAGACCUCUCCUGAAUGUUUAACACUAAAAGCAUGAAACUAGUAAAUGCAGCUCAGAACUACUCGCAGAAGCUGCAGCUUCCAGCAGACCUUAAUGACGACAAGGCAGCAACAAAGGCAACACAGAAGAUAAAUAGAAUCCAUACUACUAAAAAACCUAAUUAGCAUCUGAAAUCCCAUUUGCAUGUACCAUCUAGCUAAUCUGAUUUACUAUUAAGUGUUGCUUACCUUACACAUAGGUACUCUUCAAAACGCGAGGUCUUCACGAAGCAAGAGACCAUAAUCUGUUAUAUGAUACAGGCCAACAAAAAGUUAUUGCACUCUUAAAUAGCUACAAGCCAUAAAGCUAGAUGAAAAACAAUCAAGGCAAAAGAAUGACAAAUUUUAUUCUGGCAACCAAAGCAGAGGCAAGAGUCAGCAAACAGCUUCAUAUUGGCCUAUUCAGCUAAUUUGGUGAAUAUAAUCAGUAUUUAGUAGCUAAUAACAACUGAAGAUUAGAUGCCCCAGUGUCCUUCUGCAUAGAUCAACGCAUUUUUGUAUUUGAAUGUAACCUUCAGCUAUGUAAAGCUCAUUUCAUACAAGAACAAACAAAACUCUUCCACGAAUCAUCUCUUCUCAUCAGAUAAUGUAGUAGGACUACUUCACAUAAAAACGAGCCAAUGAUAACAGUUAUGAAAUGAAAAACUCACCAUGAGUGCCUGAUUCUCUGUAUCUAUAUAAUCUAGAAAUACUCGUCUAUGCAACUUCUGCUGCUCUAUUUGAGGAUUUUUAGCCAAAACCUUGCGCAUAUCAGACACAAUAUUCUGUUAAAACAAAAGGUAUAAGUGGCGUGAAAAUAGGAACAAUGCCAACAUCAUAGCAUUUAUAAGAAGGAAUAUCAAAUCUUACAUUGAUCUUAUUGACAUCCAAAUGACUUAUGGCAGGCUGGAUUUAAUUCGCCAAUGAGUCUUCUGGCUAAGAUUCCUUACCACAUUCAUUGUAAACUUGUGACUUGGAAUGUGAACUGCUUCACGGUCAUCACCUCUUAUAACUGUUGGUGACCACCAUCCCACAUGCUGAACAACAAAUUAAAUACAUUUUAGAUUCUCCAGACAGUAUUUCAACACUAAGUCACAUGUUCAUACAGUAUUUAAUGAUCCAGUUAACUCUGCAAGGAGUUUAAGAUUUAUAUGCAGAACUUUGUCACCACAAAUAUCAUAAAGAUUUUAGGACAAUGCAGACAAACCUCAACUGUACCAGAAACUUCAUAGCCAUCAAUCUUUGUCUGAAUCCAAUCGUUGAGAACAAAUGGCCGUGUUGCAUGGAUCAUUACACUUGAAAGAAAAUUUGUGAGAAUCUGAAGAAAAUGGAAGAGAACUAUUUAGCCUUAGAAGGAAAGGGAAGCUAAGACAGAUGCGGGGAAAGGUAUUUACAGUAAUUACUUGCACUAAUUGCUACAAAAGAUACAGGGAGGAAGGAGAAUGAUUUACCUCACGACCAGCAAGGGUUAAUAAUACUGUCCCAAGACCCCCAGCAGUUAGCCACUUCUGGGUUGAAAAACCAAGCAAUUCCAUGAAUAAUGAAACAGCAGCAACCCAUACUGCAGUAUAUACAGCUUUUCCAGCAAACUCAAAGCCCAUCUAAAGGUGCAAAGCAUCACGAAGUUAGAUUAUUUACAAUACCAUAGGCAAACUGACAGAUCCAUUAGACCAAAACCAACCAAAUGAACAAAAUGCUAGACCUAAUUGACAGUCUAUCUAAACACAUGGAUGGAAUUCUCACGAAUUAGGAUGCAUGUUAUCCGUAAGAACCUCUAAACAGUAUCACGAAUACGUGACAGCUGUAAACUAAACACCUACUGUAGGUAGUGUUUGUAGUGCAAAACACGAAAUCUUUAGUUAACUCAGAACCAAAAGGCAAUACCAUAAUAAGCAACAGAGAAUGUGCAUGCAUGACAAGGCAGAAAGACUAGCAUCUUAAUUACCCAUUAGUCAUUAAUGACUGGCAACAUAAUGGCCUCUUGCAUCAAUUAAUGGGCCUUUUCUACAAGUGGUUUUAGGUUCACAUUAAUUUCUAGUAUGCCAGAACAUUUGAACGGUUGCACAUGUAAUGAGAGAAUGUAAAUCUGUUGCAUAGUCUAAAAGUAAUCAAAACGUACUGUUCUUGCAUCACUAGAUUCUUUUGUUUCGACAAAGAACUUCUGAGUCUGAUGAAUCAAGCUGUCCAAAAAAAAAAAACCAAGAUUAGAUAUCAUACUCUAGAAUCUAUACUAACUCCAACAGAAAGGGCAUGACAAGAGAAGCAACAGACUGCAGACAAGGUCCAAUUACAGCAAGCACAUUUACCUGCUCACAUCCAUGCGUACAAGUAUGUUUGUAUCUAAGGGGCACAAAGAAAGGGGAGGGAGGGAGGGAGGGUGGGGGGAGGAGAGAGUUGCACAGCAGCAUAAAGUUGUACAAACAAUUAAAUGGAAAGCAGAGACUCGUCCUAAGAAGAUUGUUGCCACAGCAAAACAACUUAUAUUUUCAAGGAGGGGCAAACAACAUACAGUUACAAGAUCAUAUCUUAUGAUAUAAAGAGGGGGAGGGGGAAGGGAGAGAGAGAGAGAGAGCUAUGCCUUUAACAUCAGCAAAACAACCAACUCCAGUAGAAAUAAAACAAAUUAAACAACCAAUAAUGCGAACUUUGAGUUUUCUAAGAGAAAUCAAUCGUAGAAUGACCCUAUCCUUUUACUUUAACAGAAAAGAAAACAAAGAUAGUAAUAGAUCAAGUUGUUUGUUGCCUAGCACUAGAGAGUUUUAAGCAAUAAGUUUACCUUGAUAAACAGUAGGCAAAGGCAAGAAUAGUAGACAGUGAUCGUACAAAAUACAAAAGCCGUCGCUUGACAGCCUGGCUAGCUACUGAAGUUAGAAUCACAGGAUCAAGUGCUCUGCAGAAGUUCCAUCAAAAGGAAAAAUAAUCAGAUCGUCUAAAGACAAAACAGGUUAUAACAAACAUUCCAAUUUUGUCCCACUAGUACCUGCAAAUGAGCAUUGCUCCAGUCCAAAACAGCAAAGGUUGAAGAUAGGAAGUCACAAGAUUAUGUAUCCCGCUCUUUUUCCAACUACCAUCAUUCUUCUGCAUGAAAAAAUCAUGAGGGACAUCAGCAAAGUAUCAGCUUAAACACCUCAUGAAAGAAAAGAAAAACAUUGGGGUAAUGAUAAAGAAUGUACACUUAGGAAAAGAAUCCUCCCGAAACGCAUGAGCGGCCUAAGCCCCAAGCAGCCAAGGCAAUUAUACCAAUGGCUGGAACCAACUGAAGCACAGGAGGACUUCCAUGCAAAGUACCAUGUGACCUGCUAAAAAUGGUUAUGAGUUUAUCCAAUGUGCCGUCAUCUCAUGGUGCAAAAAAAAAACUGUAUUUGCAAUAAAUAAAGACAAGCUUAUGGUCCAUCCUACCAUUUCAUGACAACCAACGAGGACAACAAGAGGGAAAGGGGACCCUUAUAAGAAUCCCACAGAAAGCCUUGAAAGCAUUAAAUAAAACAUGUACCUGGAAAUUAUUUUUGCAGCUGCUUUCAGAACAGGAAUCUCAUUUCCUCCACCGGGUUUUAAUAGGGAUCGGCACGUAAAACCAUUAAAUUUAGCAUUAUUAGGGCAUAGGGGGCCAUGUACAUUUUUCAAAACGCAGAGACUCCAAGCAUCCUGUCGCUACAUGAUUGACAAAAUUAGUGUCCACACAUAAGACAACUUCUCUAAAAUAAAUAAAUAAAUAAAUAUAUCCCUCACAGAUUAGAGAAGUGCUGGUCAAGGACUAGGUAAAUUUUUAGAAUCCACGAAAUUUGACAAGUUCCCAUUAAAUUUAACCAAAUAUAUCGAAUUUCGCUCAUUUCAUCAUCCACUUGGAAAGUUUCAACUCCCAAACAAAACAUGAAUCCAAAAAGAUAGCAAAUAACAAGCUUAAGUAGAUAAUGGAUAUGCUAAAAAACAAACUUCUUCUUUGGUAUCAACAACAUUGAGAUAUUUGGGUUGGUAUGCUAUUCACGAAUUCCAAUCAGUUGCUUAGCAUGAAAGCAUAAAAUUCCAGCAGCAUAAGAGGAGUAAAUGGAAAGCAUAUGCGCAUUACAUACCACUGAAUAAGAUGAAAGAGACGAGCUAAACGAGUGUAAGCGGGUCUUCUCCAUCAUGCCCUGGACACGAACAAAUGAAAAUUAGAAUAACUUACUUGAGAAAAAGUUAGCAAAGAGACUGAAGGGUGCAGAUCAUGUACCGAAUGUAGUAAACCUCCAUGCACCUUAAACUGGCCAUAGUGGCCACAGAUUCGCAUUUCACAGGGCGAAAGCAAGGAAGUUGCAGCUGCCAUUGUCUCAACAUAUAAAAAGAAACGGCACAAUACCGAGUGCACAUCAACUGGAACUCCCCCUGGAACCCACCAUUUUCAUAAGAAAUAGAUACACAACCAAAAAAUCAUGUGAAGUCAAACAGGCAGGCAGACAUAAUUAAAUAACAUUUAUCCCAGAAUAAUGAUCAAGAAAAAAAUAAAGAUUCCAUUUUUAGCAACCCAAACAAUUAAUAUGCACAACUCUACAAUAGUAAAAUUUUCUUUUCUUUUUUUUUUAACUCUAUAAUAACAGUUCAUCAAAGACAAAAACUAAAUUCUCUAAUUAUAGAAAACACUUUCGCUGGACAACGAUUUAGAGCAAAUCCAUUUUUGUUAUAAAGUUACACAUAAAUUAACAAAUAAAAGUAUCCAAGUGCAUAACAUGAAGAAUUUCCCUCGUCCUUAAGCUUUGACAAUCUCUCUCUCUCUCUCUCUCUCUCUUCUUUUUUUUUUGGGGAGGGGGUGGUGGGGUUCCAAGGGAAUAGAAAAAGGUUGCAUUAUUUACUUAUUUAGCAGUAUUUUCUUAGCUAUCCUCUGCUACAUUUAGCUGCCAAAUCAAACAAAAUAACAGAAAAGGUCAUCAAAAUAAUCUCCAUCCUUCGGUGCUUAUUAUAUUCCCAGUUCCUCGUCCUCCAAAUUUCAGCUCAACCUUAACUGUACAGCCACAAUCCGAACAAAAUUUAUCACAAUUAAAGAACCCAAGAUUCAAAAUGCAGAGCAUCUUAACUAAUUAACCCUGCAUAUAUCAACAAGGACGACGAAAUUUUAAAUAAAAUAAAAUAAAAAAAGAAAAAGGAAAAGGAAAACUAAUGGCUUCUACCUUAGUUUACCGCAAAAUGCAAACAGCAAGAAAAGCGGACCAAAAUAAAUAAAUGAAUAAAACUUUGUUCGGAACUGAGAAGGAAGGAAAGAGGAAAAACUUGCGCCGGCCGGCUGCUACUGUUCCGUGGUCAAAUGGAACUACUACUAUUAUUACACGGGGCCUUUUGUAGAGGGGGGAUUGUUCAUUAUUGUUAUGGAUAAAUAGGGACUGCUGACGUGGGGGACUGAGAGCUAUGUUUUGUUGCCGCGUACGGCUUUGUCAGUCUAUUGCCUGUUGCUUUGCUUUUGCAACUAACCCACGUUUCCCACAAGUUGUUUUGCCUUUUUUUUUUUUGGGUAAAGUACAUAAAACCCCCCUGUGGUUAAGGAAAUUGACACGAAAUCUCCUUAUUGUUUAGAAACUCCCACUUAACCCCCCUAUGCUUUGGACUUAUUUGGCUUUUACCUGCUAACCGACUGAGGAGCCGGUAAUAAUAUGAAAUACCAAAAAUACCCUCAUAUAUAAUAUGUGAAAAGUUACGGAUGCAAUGAGUCAAUUUGAGAAAUUGCAUCUUGAAUAGGCAUCCCUCCAUCAUGGGCUGAGCAUCGUCCCUUCCUUUCCUAGCGGCAGGAUCUCUUUGUUCUUCGCAUUCGCUGGAGUAGCAUUCCGCAUCCCAAAACAUUCUUCGCUAGCAAGCGUUGUCCACAAAAGCAGCACCAACUCCAAAGUCGGCAUUCCUUCUUCCUGUUCCUGAGGAAAAACCCAUCUUCAAUGCACACCGUCUGCUUCUCGCCUGAUUCUCUAGAUCGUUCCCGGGACCAGCAACAACGAACGAAAGCCCAAAGAAAAUCCUUACCAGUGUAAACAGCCCUAAUUCAGGGCGCGUAGAUCAAUGCCAAAGUAAGCUAAAGCUUCGUCUUUUCCGUUCUGGGUACAGAAUCUCAGGGAUUGGCUCAGAAGCCGCAGGCGCUUUUUCUGAUUGGUUUGUUGCUUUGCUUGCUCCCUUCUCUUGCUUACACAUUCUGUAGCUUUUUUUGUUUUUCAAGGCUUUGAUUGCCUGUUUGAUUAGGCCUAGAUCUGGCUGAAACCUUUUCAAAAGGAGUCGAAUCAGUCUGGCGACUUCCUCAAUUGCUAACCAACUAAACCCAGAAGAGAUGCCAUUGUGGAUGGAAAGGCUAACUACGCAGCUAUGCGACAGAAAGAUGGGCGAAGUGGAUCAAAAAGGUAGAUUUGUGGCCCUUGAGAACUGCCUUUGGGGAUUGAGCAAGCCAGGGAUUAAGAGCGUAUGUUAGGUAGUUCAGAUUUGUAGCAAGUAGUGCCCAUGAAUCUGAGUUCGGAGUGAGCUGGAGAUGCUCCCUUUUCUCUAUGAAUUGCGAGUCACUCAAGAAGCAGUGCCCAACCUAGGACUACUAUGAACCAUUGCUUGCUUCCCGCCUAGCAAUCCUGGUAAUUGGAACGAAGCUAUAGCCCUUUCUUUCAUUCUCUUUCGAAAUUAGGUAUGAAAGGCUCUAUUGCUUUCCCAUUGAAGAAGGGUUAGGCUGACCUGGAAUCCAAUUGAAUAGAGGUUGGGUCUUCGAUUUGCAUCUCUGUCAAAAUUUUUCAUUUGCAGAUCUACAACUAUGGUGGGUGCAAGCUUGGAAGAGACAUAGAGGACAAAAUUGGAAUGAAAUGAGUUUCUGCUAGACACAAGUUACCAUUAAGUCGCGUAAAUAUCACUCGCUAGCUCCCCAGCCGGUUAGCAGGUAAAAUCCAAACAAGUCCAAAGCACAGGGGGGUUAAGUGGGAGUUUCUAAACAAUGAGGAGGUUUCGUGUCAAUUUCCUUAACCACAGGGGGUUUUAUGUACUUUACCCUUUUUUUUUUAUUGGUACGAAAUAUAGUACUAGUAAAUACUAAAUACUACCAAAAAGCGUUUAAAAAUGGAUUCACAGAAAUAAUUUUUUUUUUUUAAAAAAAUGACCAAUUCAUACAAGUUCAAAAUCUUUUCAUUUUUCAACACUUGACUAUAUGCACUAAAAUUAUUUUAAAUACAUGUCACGUGUGUAAAAUUUAGAGUUAAAUUUCAAAAUUAAAAUGACAUGAUAUGCAUCCAAAUUCGUAUAUUAUCAAUGUCGAUAAAAUCUAUCUAACCAAAAAAAAAAGAGCAAAGAGUAUCAUUUUUCUAGAUGUUGGCGGUCAAUUGCAAAAGGAUACAUAUUUCUUGAGGUUGGGUGCCAUAAAAUAAAUUCCAAGUGGUGUAAUUGGAUGAUCACAUAUUCCAAUUCGAUCUCAAAUUCAAGCAUGGAUAAUGCUAUUUGAAUUCAAGCGAGUAACGAUACUUGAACUCGAACUCGAACUCGACUCAUGCGAGUAGUAUACAAACUUAAACUCCCCUCAAAUUAACUUGAAAAUCCCGUCAAGUCUUGUCGAGUUCGAACCACCCAAAUCCAAGCUUGAAAUCGAGCUCAAAGCCUGAUUUUUAUAUUCAAUUUCCAUUCCUAAUUUUCCAUUCAACUCAGCUCAAGACGUGCAUUGAGGAUGGUCAUUUCGGCUCGAGUACCUCCCGAAGUGCCACCUCGGCAAGACCUGUUGGUUUGGAACCCACCUCAUUACCACUCCGGCUAAGAUCAUUAGCCGAAGUGAUGCUUGAUUAUUUGAUAACUGCAGAAAGGUACGAUGUGACUCCUGACACAUCUGACACCUGGAAAGGCUGCUCUGAUACGCCGUCUGAACCUGACAGAUGUCCCCUCACAUCUCAUAAAGAUUGGUCAAGUCUACCGGAUGCACUGACCAUCUCAGAUCUUUAGGGACUCGUGCCGACAGUCCCUCUCUCCUAUCCUUCCUCUAUAAAUUCUCAACAUUUCUAUUGAGAAAGGGAUGAUGACCAAUUCUCUGGUAACAUACUCCUCCCUUCAUUAUACUACCUCCUUACAACCGAACUAACUUGAGCUUCGGAGUUAUAUUAGGGGAUUCAGCCCCUCUUAUUACCCAAGCAGGUGACCACGUCCAAGAGAGCUGCCCAAGAUAAAAAUACUUCUCCAGUUUGGGUGACUUACUCCAGCGGGACGGAAAUCACCUCUUCAAUUGGCGCCGUCUGUGGGAACGCAAAGACAUCAGAGUAUGAAGCCUACGCGUUCUAAGAGCAGAAAAGCUCUCACUAUUGGGGCUGAGCAAAGUAAUGCAGCCCAACAGAAGGUAUAUCUGAAGGGCAGGGGUCUCCAAGGACCCAGCCCGCAAACGAAGAAGCCAUCUCUCGUAUGGCCGAGUUUGUUACUGACAAUCCCAACAUCUUCGAGGAAUUAGGGAGAUACCUGAAGAGGCAAGGCAAGCAAAAAGCCGAAUCCUCUAAGAGGAAGUCAGAUGGGUCUCCUGAAGACUCGUCCGAAAAGGAGUCUGAUGGAAGGCGCCUAAGCCGAAGUGCCUCGAAACGGGCAUUCUCCAAGGCCACCUCUAAGGUAGCCUCAAUGACCAAGGCAUUCUCCCGGGGACUCUUGGGCGACGACCUGAGGAGGAACCUCGGCCCCUGGGAUACCCGGGGUGAAUUACAUGAGGGCCCACCUUUCACCGACGAUAUCAAUGAGGAGAGGCUCCCUCCAACUUCAAGCUUCCCUCAAUUCCAUCCUAUGAUGGUCGGGUGAUCUGGAGGACCAUAUCCACGCCUUCAUCUCGGCCUUUCGCUUAUACUGCAUCCCUGACCCCGUCAUAUGCCGAGCCUUCCCAGUAUUCCUCCAGGGGACAGCUCGAAAAUGGUUCUGGGGGUUAGAACCUAGGAGCAUCUCAACCCUGGGAUGACUGGUAGAAAGAUUUCUCCACAGGUUCAUUCCAUCCCGACCUACGACCCGAACCUCGGCUACCUGCUGAACAUGCAGCAAAACCCGGGUGAGUCACUUCGGUCGUAUGUUCAGAGGUUCCAUGAAGAGAGCGUGCAGAUACCUGAUCCCAAUGAGCAGGUCACCAUCGCCGCUUUCACCCAUGGGCUCGUUUCCGGGGUGUUCAACACAGGAAUCCACAAAAAAUAUCCCCGCACUCUCCAUGAACUAUGGUUUAAAGGUCGAGAAGGGCAUACAGGCCGAGAGCUCAACCGCAUGAAAAAGAAGUCCAAGCUGCUCGCCCGAGGGCUGACGCCCGAAGAGGGAAGGAGCCUAGCCGAAGUGAAGCGGGGACAGGAAGCGGCUUCCAAAGUCCCGGCUGAGAUCGCAGGAGUAUGUUCGACAGGAUCUCAAAAGGAAAGUCACCCAUUCCUGAAUCCGAACUAACUCCUUGAACACUAGCCGGUCUCGGGUGCUAUCCGUAAUGGAACAAAAUAACCUUGGAAAGGCACCCCCCAAGAUGCAGGGCAGCAGGGACAAGAGGAACUCGACCCUCUAUUACUUAUAUCACGAGAUAUAGGACAUGAAACCGAGGACUGUAACGACCUCAAGAGAGAGAUCGAGAACCUCAUUAGACAAGGCCACCUCAAGCAGUUUAUCCGCCGAAGUGGAGGUCAUCCGCGAUGAGAAUCGACGUGAUAAGCGAGGUGAUCAACCCAAGAUGAGAGGCGGGUAUCGAGAACUAGUUGCCGACCUCCUGAGAAUCCUAGGGAGUCGAAGAGGCCACCCGGAGACGGAUCCUCAGGUCAAGGAUUAGGAUAUGACCAAAUAUUGCCGGAGUCAUCAACACCAUUGCUGGAUGUCCGACGGGAGGAGAUAGUCAAAACUCCCGGAAGAGGACCUACAGACAAGCCAACCCGGAUCAGGCUGAGUCGAGUUCUCGCCUCUCUGAGGUGAUCACUUACGGGCCCAGUGACCCCGUCCCAGCUGCCUCCAGCAGUCAUGAAGCAUUGGUGAUUGAAGUCCUCACCAAUAACUACAUCGUGAAAAAGGUCUACAUUUACCCGGGGAGUUCAGUUGACGUCAUGUACCUUCGUACUUUUGAUAGCCUUAAACUGGCCAUGGUGAGAACCCUCUUGUCGGGUUCGGGGGACACAUUGUGCAUCUCGAAGGGAUGGUGACUUUGACAGUGACUGUAGGGCGUCACCUCCGCUGCAGAACCAUCCCCGUCAACUUCGUGUGGUCAAGGCUGACUCCCCAUACAACUUACUCCUAGGCCGACCUACACUUAAUGCUUUACGGGCAGUAUACUCCACCUAUCACCUAAGCUUUAAGUUUCCUACUCCAGAGGGGGUAGCCGAGGUCAGCAGCGACGUCUGCGCUGCCCGGGAGUGUUACCGCCACUCUACAAGCAGCCUCCCCGUCCACCUCCGGAGCAAGGCCCGAGAGGAGGUCAAAUAUCCUCUCUAUAGAUAGCAUCGAUCCUCAGCGAGCUGAGAAGAUCCCGAGGCUGGAGACUGGGGAUGAGGUGGAAGAAUUCCCUCUGGACCCCACGAAGCCUGAUCAAACGAUUCGCGUCGGUACCCGAUUGCCCAGUCCUAUCAAAAGAGGUAUGGUGAGCCUUCUCAGAGAAUACCGGGACGUCUUUGCUUGGGCCGCAGAGGAGGUUCAAGGGGUCCCGCAUCACCUCAUGAUACAUGAGUUGAACGUCGACCCCCAAAUCCGCCCGGUCAAGCAGAAAGAAGGCACCUCGGCCCUGAGCGUAGCCGAGCUGUUGGCGAAGAGGUGGACAAGCUCCUCCCUGCAAAGAUCAUCCGGGAGGUCCAAUAUCCUACUUGGUUAUCCAACCCGGUUAUGGUAAAGAAGGACACGGGGGCUUGGAGAAUGUGCGUCGACUUUACCGAUCUCAACAAAGCUUGUCCCAAGGACUGCUACCCAUUGCCCAAGAUUGAUACCCUGGUGGAUUCAGCAAUGGCUAUGAAGUCCUCUGCUUCUUUGAUGCCUUCAAGGGGUAUCACCAGAUCGGAUGAGACCGGAAGACCAGGAGAAGACCGCCUUCUACACUGACCGACGGCACGUAUUGUUACACCACUAUGCCUUUCGGAUUGAAGAACGCCGGGGCCACAUACCAACGCUUGGUUAACCAAGCCUUUAAGUCUCAGAUCGGCCGGAUGGUUGAGGCCUAUGUAGAUGAUAUCCUCCUCAAAAGUCGGACAACCUCCACAUUCCUUGCCGACCUGAAGGAAGUCCUGGAAGUCUUUCGGAAGACGCGAAUAAUGCUAAACCCUAAGAAGUGUGUCCUGGGGGUCACUUCGGGGAAGUUUUUGGGUUACCUCGUCUCCAGGCGAGGUAUUGAAGCAAAUCCAGACAAGGUGAAAGCAAUUCAAGAGAUGUCUUCACCUCGGUGCGUCCGCGAUGUCCAAAGGUUGACGGGGCGGUUGGCCGCCCUGAAUCGAUUCCUAUCGCAUUCAGCCUCCAAGGCAUUGCCGUUUUUUAAAGUCCUUAAAAAGGCCAACAACUUCUCCUGGACCGAAGAGUGUCAACAGGCGUUUGAGCAGCUAAAGGAGUACCUCAACCACCUCCCAACACUCACUUCACCUCGCCCAGGGGACAAGUUAAUCUUGUACCUAUCUGCUGCCGCUGAAGCUGUAAGUGCCGUACUAAUAAGGGAGGAAGGUGUCCAAACACCUGUUUACUAUGUCAGCCGAGUCCUCCGAGGUCCGGAGACCAGGUACCUCAGGCGGAGAAACUUGUGCUAGCCUUAAUUCAUGCAGCUCAUAGGCUUAAGCCCUACUUUUUGGCCCAUCACGUCUGCCUGAGGACAGACCAACCACUUCGGCAGGUCCUAUCGCGACCGGAGGCCUCUGGACGCCUCACCAAGUGGGCCAUCGAGCUGGGAGAGUACGAUUUAUCUUAUGAGCCUCGCACGGCCAUUAAAGCCCAGGCUCUCGCGGAUUUUCUUGCCGAACUUACUUUUGAGGAAGCGAAUGAGAUCAUCCCGGUUAUUACCCAGGCUGUCACCUCGUCCACCGCCGAGCCUCAACAAUGGACCUUGCAUGUAGAUGGCUCAUCCAAUAGUGAGGGUAGUGGAGCUGGUUUGCUCCUCGAAGAUCCCCAAGGAGAAAUUUGCUCGUAUGCCUUGAGGUUUGAUUUUGCUGCUUCCAACAAUGAGGCCGAAUACGAAGCAGUCAUCGCCGGCCUGCAGUUAGCUCGUAAGCUCGGGCCGCGCAUAUUAUGGUCUAUAGCGAUUCUCAACUCGUUGUAUGCCAAUUACUAGGCGAAUACGAGGCCAGGGAAGAGGUGAUGCAUCGAUACCUCUCCAAGGUCCUCCAGCUAGUGGCACACUUCCAGUCUUUUGAAAUCCAGAGGAUACCACGGUCACAGAACAGGAGAGCUGAUGCCCUCUCCCGGCUCGCUUCUACCUCUUUUUCUGACCUGAACAAAACGGUCAUUGUAGAAGUUUUAGCCGCACCGGGGUACGAAGGGGAAGAGGUGUAUCCCAUCUACCCUGGGGAUACCUGGAUGGGACCGUUAGUUCGAUUCCUCAGCCGAGGUGAACUCCCCGAAGACCGAGCUGAGUCACGCAAACUUCAGCGUAAAGCAUCUCGGUACGCCCUUCAACAGGGCCUCUUGUACAAGAUGUCCUACCUCGGCCCAUGGCUACGAUGUAUCACCCCAGAAGAAGGCGACAGAAUUCUUCAGGACAUUCACGAGGGACUCUGUGGUGCCCACGUCGGUUUCAGGAUGCUCGUGAAAAAGGCUUUGCUGCUUGGAUACUUUUGGCCCACCAUGAGGGUAGAUGCCCAGGUCAUGGUCCUUUGCUGCCCUUCUUGUCAGCACCAUGCCCUGAGCACCAUGCCCCUGAGCACCACCGACCAACCAAUCUUAUGAUUCCUAUCACCUCGCCGUGGCCCUUCGAGCAGUGGGGAACCGACAUAAUCGGCCCAUUUCCAAGGGCUCCAGGUGGUUAUACUUACGUGGUGGUAGCAGUGGACUACUUCACCAAAUGGGUUGAAGCGGAGCCCCUGAGAAGCAUCACCGGAAUGGCCGUUCAAAAAUUUUUCUAGAAAAAUGUGGUUUGUUGUUUCGGCUUGCCCCGGGUGGUCAUCUCGGAUAAUGGCAGACAGUUCGCGGACAAUCCUUUCAAGACGUGGUGUGAACACUUGGGAAUUAAACAGCACUUCACCUCGGUGGACACCCUCAGGCAAAUGGACAAGCUGAAAACUUCAACCGAACUCUCCUCCAUGGCCUCAAGACCAGGCUUUACCGGGCUGGAUCGUCAUGGAUGGAAGAGCUCCCAAGCGUGCUGUGGUCCUACCGAACCACGCGAGCUCAGCGACUCAAGAAACACCGUUCUCUCUAACUUAUGGAUCCGAGGCUGUCGUUCCAGCCGAAUUCAUCACCCCAGCAGCGAAUGGCCGCGUACGCUGCCGAUGUCAAUGAAGAGGAGCGACGGGUUGAUCUCGACCUUGCCGAGGAGAAGCGCGAUAUGGCUGCGGCCAAAGUUGCUAUUUAUAAAAAUAUCCUAGCUGGUUAUUACAAUGCCCGGGUCAAACACCUAAGGUUCAGUCCAGGAGACUUGGUACUCCGGAAGAAUUCGGUUAGCCGAGUUGAACCCCAGGGAAAACUUAACCCCAAGUGGGAGGGACCCUACCGUGUUAUUGAAUCCAGCCAAAAUGGAUAUUGUAAACUGGCUUACCGAGAUGGUUCGCGUGUGCCCCGAACUUGUCAUGCUGAGAACCUUAAGUUGUAUUACCCUUGAAGGGUACGUGUUCUUAAAUUCCACUUCUUUAAGUUAUUUCUCACUCGUUCUUAUUUCAUUACAAGUGACAAAUAAGGGGACAAAGCAGUAGUUAAAAGGAAAAAACUGAACUCAAUCGAAAAGGAGAGAAAAUAUGCAAAACCCAACUUUAUUGAAGCAUGAAAAGCAAAAGGUCGGGGCCAUAAUUACAAAAGUGAAAUGCCGAUGACCUCGGCCAUCUAUUACAAAACAUGAGUGCUUCUAAGCACCUCCUGCCCUGGGGUCCUGUCCCCCAGGGUCUCGCCGCCUGCCUCGGCAUCCUGCUGUCCGGCAUUCUGCUGUUCUUCCUCUCCUCCACCAGCCUGGUCCCCUUCGGCACUGUCACCAUCCACACUCGAACUCCUGGAGCCACUUGUUGAAUUCAGCUCGGACCUCAGCCAGGUCCUUUCCAGUCCGGAUGCCCUCACCCACGCGGUCGCAUAAUUCCUUAGCAUCCUCAUUGUAGUGUGAAGCACUCUGGAAGGACUCCAGCUGCUCAGGGAGAAGAAAGGGUGCCGCAUCAUUAAUGGCCGACGUAUACCCGAACAUGAAGCUCGGCCGAGUGAGUUCACCGAGGUCGCGAAUGAAAGACUCCGACUUCCGGAAUGCUUCCACAGCGGUGGCCCCGGCUGUGUCUAUGGCCACUUUGGAUGAUUGCUCUUCCUGAGCUCUCUUCUCCCUCUCCUCAUCAAGAGCAGUUAUGAGGGAGUUGUUCGAGACCUCAGUCUUCUUCUUCGCCGCCUCAGCCUUGUCACGUGCCAGCUCGGCGGCCUUUAGUUUCCCUUCCAGAUCGGCGAUCUUCUUCUGGAGCUCGGAAGGUGAUUCAUAAGUCUCUACGAAAUCGCCGAAGCGUUGGUACAUCUCGGCAAGAAACGCCGUGGUGGAAGCCCAGGAGACCGAGGCACCCUGCAUCAGUUCGGCCGGAUUGAGUUUUCUAGUGUAAGUGUUGUCCUGUGGCAGGACUGAAUUCACCAGGAGCUCGUGCGCGACCUGGGGAUUCUUGCAGCGGUCAUUGACAUUGACCGACCACUCCGGGCAAAAUUGUGCUCCGGAGUGCCUCUUGUCCUCCCGGCUGCUAGAGAGGGCACGUGGUGGAGGUUCAAUAAUGAGUUCCCCGAGAUAGCGUCACCCUGGACAACGGUCGCACCUCGACCCCGGCCCCGAGGUUGAGAGGCUAUGGUUACUCCAUGGGAUGGAACUCCCACUGGAAUGGACGCUUUGGAUCUUCCCGGCGUGCCCGAGGUAUGCGACCCCUCGCCUAUAAUCACCACGACAGGUUCGCGAGUGCCUGCCGCGGCAGUGGUCUUCUUAGCCGGCCUGGAAGAGGACUCACCGGCGUCCUUGCGCUUUUUUGCUGGCCUCUUUGCCACCUCGACCUCUCCCGAGGUAAUCAGGUCGGAAACCUUCAUUACUGCAAAGUACGAAAUGAAGUUAGUUAGAAUUCAAGGAAAACAAACAAGAAAGUGAGAAGUGGAAAAGUACGAGGUAUGUGAAGCCUAGUGAAGACGAGGACGGGAAAGUCCGAGCUGAUCGAGGCUCGGCUGAGCUCGCCCUUCACGAGCACUCUUUCAGGGAAGUCCCAAUAGUUAAUCUUCAGGCCCGACCCCGUCAAUUUUUGGAAGUUGCGUUCUUCCAAUUUGCCCGGGGAGGUUUUUUUGACCGAAGUGGGAGGUCUCCACCAGAAUCCCCUGGGGAAGUCCUCAGCCGGGACGAAGAAAAAGUUCCUCUUCCACUCCUUUAUUGAGCUCGGGGCAUCAUAUACCAAUCUUGGAACCUUGUUCCCGCAGUAGAACCACCCCUUCUCGCUCCCACUGUUCUUAAGUGAAUAACAACGGCGGAAGAGGUUGACAUUCGGCUCUAUCUCUUGAUGUCGGCAGAGUAGCUGGAAGCCGACGAGGAUGCGAAUUGCAUUUGGAGUGAGCUGAGUAAUCCUCACCCCCCAAUACCUCAGGCAGUGCCUAAGAAACCUCGUAGUUGGCACCAUGAGUCCGGCCUCCAGCUGUUCUAUGUAGAUGGCUACCCUACCCUUUGGAGGCAGGGCGGCGGAUUGAUGUGGGCGCGGAAGGUAGAUACUGUAAUCCCUCCUCCACGGAUACUUGCGGACCACAUCGGCUAUGGAGCUUGGUCCACCGCACUGAUGAAGGCCGGCAUCUGACCAUAGUUUAGCGUGGCCACGUGUGGAGGAGUGGAGGGCUCUUGUACACCCACGUCCAUUGGAACUUCAUUCCCGAGGUGAUCAUUGUACAAGACCUCGGGCUCGACCUCAAUCUCUUCGGCCUGCUCUUCCAAAGACUCAGCUCGGCGGAUGCCUCCGCAUCUCCUCCCCGGGCUCGAUCAGACGCUUCCCCACCUCCUUCCUCGGCGUUAGAGGCCGUUCUCUCCUCGGAAGGGUCGGGCUCUCUGCCUCGGUGAAGUCAGGCCUCACCGUCUCUUUGUGUGUGCGAGCUGUUCUAGCCAUUAAUACAGAAAGAAGAAGUGAACUUACUUAGAAGAUGCGAAGUGAAAAAGUUGCUGAAGAAGAUGUAGGUUGGAAAGAUUGCCGAAGUGAAAAAGCAAAUGGACAGAGCUCUGAGAUGAUUUCAAAUUUUGGUAAAGAAUGGAACGGUGAAAAGAAACCCCUAUUUAUAGGCAACAAGGGGGGAACCGAAGAGAUGCGAUCUUUGGAUUCCCUAAAGCUCUCUCUCUCCCCUCAUUAAUGAAGGUGCUGUUCACCUGACAAUCGAUCGUAUUGAUUCGACGUUAAAGCUGCCAGCCCCCGUUUCACCUUCCCCUAGUCACAUCUACACAGUCGUGACGUGUCCUUGCAUUGUUCCGUGUUCUACACGCGCGUCAGCUUCGGGAAACGACGACCUCGGGAGGCCCCGACCUCGCUCUUCUUGAAGCUUGGGGGCUUAGUGAGGAUGGUCAUUUCGGCUCGAGUGCCUCCCGAAGUGCCACCUCGGCAAGACUUGUUGGUUUGGAACCCACCUCAUUACCACUCCGGCUAAGAUCAUUAGCCGAAGUGAUGCUUGAUUAUUUGAUAACUGCAGAAAGGUACGAUGUGACUCCUGACACAUCUGACACCUGGGAAGGCUGCUCUGAUACGCCGCCUGAACCUGACAGAUGUCCCCUCACAUCUCAUAAAGAUCGUCAAGUCUACCGAUGCACUGACCAUCUCAGAUCUUUAGGGACUCGCCGACAGUCCCUCUCUCCUAUCCUUCCUCUAUAAAUUCUCAACAUUUCUAUUGAGAAAGGGAUGAUGACCAAUUCUCUGGUAACAUACUCCUCCCUUCAAUUAUACUACCUCCUUACAACCGAACUAACUUGAGCUUCGGAGUUAUAUCAGGGGAUUCAGCCCCUCUUAUUACCCAAGCAGGUGACCACGUCCAAGAGAGCUGCCCAAGAUAAAAAUACUUCUCCAGUUUGGGUGACUUACUCCAGCGGGACAGAAAUCACCUCUUCAUGCAUCAAUAGCAACAACUCAGAAAUCAGCCCCAUCACCUCCAACAUUUACGUACGUUUUCCUCAACAUCAAUAUCAACUAAAGAAAUAACCCAAAAAAGAAAGAAAAGCUCACAAAAUCACCCAAAGUACUGAAAAUCGAGUUCUGCAGUUAGGGCGCUCCGGUCGUGAGAUUCUCACGGCUCUAGAAUAACUUGAAGUUCCACUACUACUUACUGUAUACUAGCUAUAUAUUUUUUGUUACACUACUCAUUAGUCACAACAACUGAUGCUGCCCUAAACGUUGAAUCUGGCGGGAUCCAUGAGACUGAAUCCCGAUGUAUUUUGUUAAGGCACGAAUUUAGCAAGUUUCAUUCCGGCUUUUAUCAUUUUGCUAGGACCCAUGAAUAAAGUCCGAUCGAGGCACGCUUCGCUCGUGGUUUCGGGGCUUGAGUGAUGAUAUUUUAUUCUGGCAAAUACGGAUGACACGAUUGGCCUGCAAUUUUGUUUCUAACGACUAAGGUUCAUUCUAGCAAAACCGCAUCAUGAAUCACUAACUUGGAAGGUGCAACUGGGCCGCCACUGUUGUAACCUCAAACUUCAAAAUCUCGGUCCGCCUAAUCAAUUUGAGCACUUGAUGAAACAAACCACCCACCCACCCUCGCUCACCAGUCCAACAAAAAUUAGGGGUAGCAAUUGGAUAAAAAAAGAGUCGGCGGAUCGGAUUGAGACCCGAAUAAAACUAAUAACCUGCUGAUUCGAACACGAUCCACCAACUCUAAACGGGUCAGAUAUCUGACCCGAAUCUAAAAAUUUCGGAUUGGCGGGUCAAUCCAAAUGCCUUGAAAUAUAAUUUCAAUUUUCUAAUUUAGCACUGUGGUUUCUAAUAGAACCAAUUUCGCAUAAGGCUAAUUACAUAAUCAAUUAAUAAAAAUCUCGAUAAAACAAUCCAAAACCAUAUCUGAAAUAAAUUAAAACAUUGUAAAAAUAUUUUAUCCCAAAUCAGAUCUAAAAUAAAUUAAAAUACUAUAAAAAUAGAAAAUAAUGUAAUAUAUCAUUUGUCCAAACAUAGUAAUUUCAAAUUCACACAAGUUAAACAAAUUCAUUUAGGAUUAAGUUGUUAAUGCCUUUGGGGAAAAAAAGAAUAACUUAGUUUAGUUAAAUAAAAUAUUUUUAUAAUUUUUAAAUUAUUUUUAAUUCAUAAGCGGAUUAUCAGGUCAACCCGUGGGUGACAUAAAUUCGACCUUUUUUUUUCGGGUUCAUCAGGUUCGAUCCGAUUUUGACCCGAACCCGCGAAAUCUCAACCAAAAUUCAUUAAUUUCGUGUUAAAUUCGUGUCGUGUCGAAAAAUUACCACCCCUGACAAAAACCAAGAAAGCCAUUCCACAUAACAACUAUUUUUUGAACUGAACAUUUUAGUAUAAAAGCAUAAGGGUGAAAAAAAAACUUCCUGUAGUAAACCUAAUGUACAAAAAAGUCCCCUGUGGUUUUAAAACGUACAAUAUAACACCUCAUGCUUUGAACUAAAUUGUAAAUGUGACGGAAUUCGUUAAAUUUAACGGAAAUAGACGAAAUGACCAAAAUGCCGUGAUGUAAUUAAGCAAAAGACAGCUCAAAAAAUCAUUUAUUUUAUUCAUUAGAUAGAGAGAAUUGAGGAUUAAGGGGUAGAAUAGGUAUAUUGGUUACAAAUUAAGUAUAAAUUUUUUUUUGUUCCAAUAAGUCAUUUCCGUUAAAUUUAACGGAUUCCGUUAUCUUUACAAUUUAGUUCAAAGUAUGAAGUGUCAUGUUGUACGUUUUGAAACCAUGGAGGAUUUUUCUGUAUAUUAGAUUUACCACAGGGAAUUUUUUUUUAUUUUUUACCCGUAUACAUAACGAAUUGUCUUUUCAACUAAUUAGUGCACCACCCAAUUUUUUGACUAUAAAUGCUCAAAAAUAGAUCCAUAGUCAUCUGACUAAUAUCUUUAUCCACGUUAAAUUUUAUUUUCUUUUCAAAUACAGGCAAAUUUGAGUAGUAUUGGGAAUACUUUAUUUUUAUUAAUUUUUCUGGCAAAGAGGAGUGAAAUUUAAUAAAUGAAAAGAGAGAAGAGAAAUUGAAAUUUAAGACCCCUAAAUCCUCAGACCUCAUCAAGUUAAGAUUGUUUUCUUAGUAGUCAAAGAAAUCGAAUCAACAACUUUACAUGUUUCUUAAUCGACAUUAAAACAAAAACUGCAUUAGAUUAUUGUCACACUUGUAUCUAUACUAUUUGAGGCCACAUAAAUAUAAUAUAGUCAUCUUUUCUUUUGUUUUUUUUUUGGGGCCAACACAGUAUGUGAAAUAUCAAGAUUCAAAAGAAUCCAUUCUUAUGCAUUCAAAAGAAUCAUUUUUUUUUUUUUGCUUUUUGUUAUUAAAUUCGGAAGUAAAUACCACAGGAACAUUACUCUCAUCUCAGUCGACUUGAGAAGUAAAUUUUAUUAUGAUAAUAAGAUAAUCUUUAAGAGUAUCGGAUAAUUAACAUACUGAGAAAAAUCGUUGGUUGGGAUGUGAGUUUAAAUGAUUUACUAGUAAUUGUUUGGUUAUGAUGACAUACUGAUAUAAUGAUAGUUGUGAGUUGUAACGUUUAAAAACUUCAAGAGCACCUGCGGUCACUUGCAUCGCACGUGACCUUCGCCUCAUUUGAAUUUCGGACUCCAGCGCCUUUUCUUCAAUUCACUUUUUUAAAGUUUGGAGUUCGCCCUUUCCUUUUGUUUUCUUCUCUGUCCACCGUCCCUCCCAAUUCCCCGUUCAAAAUCAAUCCAACCCUCAACGGUCACCCCUCCCAUCCUCCUCCGUCCCAACCCCUCAUUCCCACCUCUUUCUCCCCUCAGGUACAGUUCAAACUAUUCAACUACAUUUUUCACUCGUCACUAUACAUUUUGGUUGAUUUAUAGAAUAAUGUGGUUAAUGAGAUCUCGAAGGUCAAGAUUAAAAUGAUGGCCUUAGAGUUGGAUUUUUGAUUGUGUGUGCAGGCUCAAUUGAAUCUAGCUAGGGUUUCUGUUGCUUACUUCUUUUCUUCUUUCCUGUCGUAGUGAUUCAAAAUUUCAAAUUGCAUUGAGUGGAGAUGGACAGUUCUGAAGUUAAAGACACAUCUCAGUGUGUGAGGGUUGCAGUCAAUGUUCGGCCGCUUGUCACUCAUGAGCUUGUUGCUGGAUGCACUGAUUGCAUCACCGUUGUCCCUGGAGAACCACAGGUACUUGGGAUGAGUAUUCUUUUGUUUAAUACUUGGAAACUAUAUAAUUAUUACUAUUAUUUUUUAAAAAACAUGUGCUCUUUUGAUUGAGAAUUUUUUUUAAUUGUGUGUUUUUGGUCGCGAAUUUUUAGUGGAGUAUUGAGAUUUAGGUGCAAAUUGGGAGUUAUUGAGGUGUUUGUAUGCUCAAACAGGUUCAAAUUGGAUCACAUGCCUUCACAUUUGAUUAUGUGUUUGGGAGUGCUGGGUUAUCAUCUUCACGGAUAUUUGAUGAGUGUGUGGCUCCAUUAGUUGAUGCACUCUUCCACGGCUACAAUGGUACUGUUCUUGCGUAUGGACAGGUAUGGAACCUGUUUCUGAUAUUAAAUUAUUUUCUGCAACUUAAAGUCCUUUUUUUGUGUUUCCUUACCUUGUUCAAAAUUUGUUUCAUGUGAAAGACUGGCUCUGGAAAAACAUACACUAUGGGAACUAACUAUAAUGGAGAAGACCAUAAAGGAGGAGUUAUUCCUAAAGUAAUGGAAACCAUAUUUUCACGAGUAGAGGCUUUCAAAGCCUCUACAGAGUUUCUUAUAAGAGUAUCUUUUAUUGAGGUAUGGUAAUUUGGUUUUUCGGUGUAUUAUUACUAAAGUCUCAUAGUUCAUGUAUUGACCGCCUAAUUUGGUAUCAUGUUAUUUAUUUUAUGAUUUGCAGAUUUUUAAGGAAGAGGUAUUUGAUUUACUAGAUCCAAACCCCCUGCUAUUGCAAAAGGUGAUGGGGCAUCUAUAGCAAAACCUGGCCCAGCAAGAGCUCCCAUUCAAAUUAGAGAAACUGUCAAUGGUGGGAUCACACUUGCCGGUGUUACAGAGGCAGAGGUUAGGACAAAAGAAGAGAUGGCAUCAUACCUCUUGCGUGGUUCAGUAUCUCGUGCUACGGGGAGCACUAACAUGAAUAGUCAAUCAAGGUGUGUGCAUUGUUUUAGUGUUAUUGAUAAAAUCUACCUGUAUGUCUGUAACUUCUUAGAUUUUUGUGCAUUGUCUAUGAUGUUGACUAACGUAGUUAAUUUUAUAUGGAGGUGCUGAUUUAUGUCUUCAGUUACAUGAUGAUUCUUGUGUGCUCUUUACUGUGUGAGUCAUUCUUUUUUGUAAAGAGAGCAGAUACCAAAAUUACUCAGAAUUAUGGAUCCUCUAAAUCAUGUUAUCUUGUGCUACUCUCUCUCUCUCUAUCACUUCUCUGCUUAAAUUACUUUUUUCAAUCUCCUUCAAAAGCGUUAGGGCAUAAACCUGUAUAUAAUGUGGAUUAACUCUGCAAAACUAGCAUUAGUUAAACAUUUAUGCUUGAGGGAUAGAGAUUUUGUAGUUUCAGGUUUUGCUUGAAAGCAAAAAUUGCUUGUGAAGAUGCCAAUAAUGAGCUGGUCAAUCAACAUCAUCCCCUUCUUUUCUCUUCUGCCUCCCCUUUUUUCUGUUGUAAUGUUUCUGUGUCAAGAAUUUACUGAUAUUUCUCUGGAUGUCCCUGGGUUCAGAAUAUAUAUGACAAUUGGAGUUACUUAAACAAAGGUGUUAAUGGUGUCUUCAAGUUACUACAGUCAUAUGGCGCUUACAGUAGCUCUAACUCUUAAAAUGAAACUCAAUGUAUGCUAGUUGGGUGCUGCCUUUGAUUGAAGGAUACGUAGUGUAAGAGUUAGUUUCUAAUGACAAUUAGCUUGUUGCAGCUGAGAAAUUAAAUCAGAUCAUCACAAUCUUCUGAAAAAAUGUAAUAACUUCUCGUUUCUUCAUUGUAGCCUGCACUUGUUUUAGGAGAAGUAAUUUUUCUAUUGUUUUUUACCUGUUUAAUUUCUUCUUUAUCACAGUAAAUGUAUCGGUCUAGCUGACAGAGUUGUGUUAACAAGAAGUCUCAUUAAUCUUGGAGCAUGUUUCCAAUCUUAAUACGAAUUGUCAGUGCUCUCUUAUUAGCACCCUAGUGAAAUCUGUAGAGAGCACUCUAGAUAGGUUGCAUACCUUGAAGAAACCAGCAGAUUUAGCUGUUUUCUUGGCCUUUCUUUUAACUUACUCUUUCAGUCAUUACAAUGAGAAUUUUUUAAUGUUAGUGUUAUAUGAUUUUCAGUCGUUCGCAUGCAAUUUUCACAAUAUCAAUGGAACAAAAAAGAACAAGCAGUUGCUCUAGUGGAGACAUACAUGAUGAAUUUAGUGACGAAAUCUUGGGUGCUAAGCUUCACUUGGUGGACCUAGCAGGUUCUGAAAGAGCAAAGCGAACCGGAGCAGAUGGGAUGCGUUUGAAAGAAGGUGGAACUAUCCUUGAUAACUGAAAUAUAUACUCUGGCUACUGGACCUGCUUGAUGAUGCUUUUUUUCUUUAUUGUUUUUGCUACUUCUCAUUUAUUUGGCAUUCUUUUUAAUUGAAAAUAUGGAUUAGGCAUUCAUAUCAACAAAGGGUUGCUGGCUCUUGGCAAUGUGAUUAGUGCUUUGGGUGAUGACAAGAAACGGAAAGAAGGUGGUCAUGUUCCUUAUCGAGAUAGCAAAUUAACUCGGCUGUUGCAGGCAAGAGAUGUUUCUUUCUUUGCUUCCUUAUUCAUCCUUCCCAAGUUUCUAAACAACCAUAUAUUAUAAUAUGGUGUUCAUAUGUUAGUAUUUCUUACAUUUCCGUCUACUUUUCAACCUUAGUCAUAAUCUUUCUUACGAACAAAAUUUUUUCUAUUGCUUUAUAUGGCAUUGUGUUAGGACCAUGCAGUUAACAAGUAAAAGUACAUAUCAGAAUGAACUCUACGCGUAUUGAAUGCAAACAUAAAAAUCAGCUUAUUUCAAAGUAGUAAUCUGUUCUUGAAUCUUCAUUCUCAUUUUCCUUUUUCCUUUCCAAUCAGAAGACAUGAUCUUUCUGGUUUUUGUUCUCUGUAAGUUGUUUAUAUUGUUUGAACUUUUCUAGAGUGGUGGCUCCUAUUGAUGCUCAGUUCUAUUGACAAUUUUCUCUCAUAAGGAUUGCAUUGCAUGCCUCCAUAAAUACCAUGUGUCCUAACUAAUCCUGAUUGUGCUUUCAUUUUUUUAACAUGAUUCACUAUAUUUGUGGUUGUCCUGUCUGGCCAGCUUGAUUUUCCUUGCGUGUCCUUGAUGUUAUAUGUAAUUUAAGCAAAUCUACCAUUGCUAACCUUGGGAAUAUUCUGUUUCAGGAUUCUCUUGGAGGGAACAGCAAAACAGUAAUGAUUGGUAAACUUUUAAUUUCGUUUGCCAAGAUGCUUUAUAUCUGUCCUCAGGAACAUGAUAUGCUGUUUUAUUAUAUGAUUUUGCUGGGCAUUUCAUCAUUUCUUUAAUUAAUGUCACUUAACUCUUCUAUCUUUUGCAUUUAUGUGGUAGCUUGCAUCAGUCCAGCAGAUACAAAUGCAGAGGAGACACUAAACACUCUGAAGUAUGCAAAUCGUGCUCGUAAUAUUCAAAAUAAAGCAAUUGUAAGUUUAAUAUUGUUAAGAAAAAUCAUAUUUUUUUUAAUUCAAUCAGUAUACUCACCUACUUUUAAUUUCUAGAUCAACCGUGAUCCAUGGCAACUCAGAUGCAAAGAAUGAAAAAUCAAUUGAACAGUUGCAAGCUGAGCUUCUUUUCUUUCGUGGAGACUGCACUGUUCCUUUUGAGGAACUUCAGGUUUCAUUUUUCCUCAUAAGUGUCAGUCUGUCAGUUUCUUAGUUGCUGUGAUUGGGAGGAUGAUUAAAAUGAUUAUCAUUGUGUUGGGUUGUGCAUAUAGAUUUGAGGUGGUUACUUCUUAGCUAAUACAAGAGGCUGUAUUAUCCUUUUAAUUAAUAACCUCUGUCCAUAAGUGUGUCUCGGUUAGAAAUUGACUUGUUCCUUCUGCCCUACAGAUUCUUAAGCAUAAAAUUUCUUUGCUUGAAGCAAGCAAUGCACAACUACAGCAGGAGCUUCAAGAACGUCGAAUUACUUGUGAUCAUUUGACACAACGAGCCCUAGAUGCUCAGGUAGUUUUAUUUGUGUAAUUGCCAAUGUUAAAAUGAUCUAUUUACGGCAUCCAAGUUAGAUGCAUUUUUGAAGCCGCUUACAUCAAAAUAAUGUAUUAGGUGGAGAGGAUAGGCUUGUCAUGAAGAUUGAAUCAGCUCGAAGUCAAAAAUCGUGGAAUGAAAUAGAUUCUGAUUCUAAUCAGGUAGAUAGGAUUCCUGAUCAAUUUGCCAUGUAGUUUGGGAAACUUGGCUAAUAUAAAUUUUCAAAUUUCCUACAGGAUUUUGAUUUGUUAAAAGGAUAUGUAUCCAAGAUACAAGAAUUGGAAGGAGAAUUAUUGCGGCUCCAAAGUGCUAACCAUUUAAGGCAGAAUGAUUUUGUUGACUACGUUAGUUUGGAUGAUAGCGGGCUUCAUUCAAAAGAUAACUGUUUUGCAGAGUCCGAAACAAAAGCUGAUAAUUUAAGUGGUGAGCUACCAUAAGCUGUUCCAUGAUAAUUAUGUACACUCUUGUUUCUGUGUUUGUUCAGGUGGCUGCUAUGCGGUGGAUGUUUCUUGUUGUGGCUUUCUAGUAUUUUAUGUUGCGCAUUAUCAUUGACUCUGCUUGACAAGAGGAUUAUGUUGCAACAACUUGUACCUGAAUGGUCGUGAUUUAUGUUUGGAAUUUGACCAAGUUGAUUUCAAGUUGCUGGUAGAAUAAUGUUCUUUCAUAUUUGUUAGGUGUGUUUGAGGAUGAGCAGAAAGAGCGAGAACAUUCUUCUCUUCAAGAAAAAUUGGACAUGGAGCUCAAAGAAUUGGACAAAAGACUUGAACAGAAGGAGGUAUGUGGUAUCUCUUCAAGUAAUUAUAUUGGUUGGCUUAAAUCUAGAAGCAAUUGUUACCUUGUAACUUCUGAUUUCACCUUGACCUAUUAUAUCUGUUUAUAGGCUGAGAUGAAGCGGUUUGCAAAUCCUGAUACCUCAACUCUUAAGCAACAUUAUGAUAAAAAAAUUCAGGAGUUAGAACUCGAAAAGAGAUCCUGCAGGUAUGUCUUUGAGUAUGAUGAUUUUAGUUGAUAAUUUCUUUGUUUCUGAGCUAAUUUUCCAUUGCAGAAAGAGAUCGAGGAACUUAGACAUAAUCUUGCAAAUAUAUCAUCUACUACUGAUGAUAGUGCUCAGAAGCUGAAGGAAGAUUAUCUUCAAAAGUUAAAUGUCCUUGAAGCUCAGGUAUUCCUUCAACUGUUUUUUCCCCCACCAAACUUUAUGUCUGGAUAAUAAUUUCGGCCUCUGCAGGUUGUCGAGUUGAAGAAGAAGCAAGAUGCUCAAGCCCAGCUUUUGAGACAAAAGCAAAAGAGCGAUGAGGCUGCAAAACGACUACAGGAUGAGAUACAGAGGAUAAAAACACAGAAGGUACAGGGUCUUGGUAUUUGAUACUUGUUUAGAUAUAGAGAAUCCCUUGCUUCUUCUAAUGGCAUUCUAUUGUCUAAAAGGUUCAAUUGCAACAAAAGAUAAAGCAAGAAUCUGAGCAAUUCAGGUUAUGGAAAGCAUCACGUGAAAAAGAGGUCCUUCAGGUACUACAGUUUUUUCACUAUUCCAUUUGGCUUCUUCUUUUACUACAGAUUUUUACCAGAAGAUGGAACACCAAACUUAAAUAGUGAAAUUAUGAGUAUUAGGCUCUAGUGGUGCCCUGGUGCUAUCUCAUUGACUCGUGUUACUUUUGUAUGGAUAGCAAGUUGUUAAGUGUGGUAAUGUUGCUCAUAUUUUGCAUAAGCUCUGAAAUAAUGGUAAAUGGGAAUCUUUGAGCCACAAGACAACAUGUACUUUUUUGAUUGAAAGAUAAGAGUCUGCGAGGGACAAGAAGGCAUUCAAGAUCCAAGUAGUAGAAUUGCAAGUACAUAAACAAGUCAUUUUAAUGGUACUGAAGUAACAGGCACUAACAAAAGUUUCUUUAUACUGGCAAGAUUUUUGUCCUAUUUAACUACAGACUCUAGAUGGAAUCUUACAUUGGAUGAACCUUAAAGGUAGCAAGUAGGUUCUAUUAACGAUUUAUCGAGAACCUGUUUCCACUAAGGGAGUUCUCAGCUUUAGCUUGCUUCCUGGAUGUGUAGUUUAUGUCAUGUUUUUAGAUGUUGGCAGACAGAGUACAAUGUGGAAGUAACUACACGUGAUGUCAGCCUUUGUAAAUAAACAAUUGAUUCAAAAAUCAACAAACAUGUAUUAACAUUUUUAGUUAGUGCGUUGCUUUUCUAAAUUGGAAUCAUGCUCCAUUUCCAGAAUGUAAGCCAGUACUUCCUGCUAUUGAGAGUUAAGACUUCGGUAUUAGCCUGUAGCAAAUAUAUUUUUUGUCGGUCCCACCACCCCCAGCCCACCUCCCUUUUAGUUUUCUCUGUUAAGGCAAUUAGUGCUUUGCAAUGAAGGAAGCAUUAUAAUUUCCUUAUUCGUAUACAAUGUGCUCCUGUAGUAUGAACUAAUUUUCUAAGUCUAUUCCAAACAUAUAUGCCAUGGUUCCUUACUUCGACAGGGUACAAAUAUCUAAAUUUGAUAUUUUUAGAUACUUUUUCAGACCUAUUGCCGAUACUAAGUAGCAGUCAAAAAUUGGUAUCCAUAGUUUGCUUCGUCUCUUCUCUCCCAUCAGUUGCUUCGUCUCUUCUCUCCCAGCAGGAAAACAGGCAUCAUCACCUUUUUUUUUUUUUUUUUUUUUUUUUCUUUCUUCUUCUCUGUUUCGCUUUCGUCAUCGUUUGGUUGUGAUGACUGUUGACCGAGCCCUUAUUCUCUUGACUAGAUGAAAGGUCGAGAAUGGAAUGGUGCUUAACAGCCUCUUCCUAAACUAUAGCCAACAAGAUUCAAGAAAACUGUAACUCCUUCAUGAGCAUAGUAGCAUUGUAAUAGCAUUGUACGACGUGUGAAUAUUUUUCCAUGCUGCUCCUCUUUUGCUGUACUUAUUCGAGUUACUUUUUAGUCCCUAAAGUGUUAGGAAAAAUGGUAGUAUAGUUUGCAACAUUUGGGGCCAAUUAACAUCUUGAGACCCGCAAUCACUUUAUCUUAGUCUCUUUUGAUGAAAAUUUGAAGAACGUUUUCUUAUUAAACUUUUUUUAAGAGAAUCAAUAGUGAUUGUCUACUUAUGCCUUUCGACAUUUUGAACUCGUGAUCUAUCGGUUAUAGAUGAAACGUCUUAUCACCUAGACUGCGCUUCAUUGUCAAAUUUGAAGAAAGCUUUGAAAACAAAAAGAAAAAAAAAAGAUUAAGGAUUUUAACAAAGCAGAGGUGGAAAAAAAAAAAAACUGCACGCGACAUUACUAGCUUCAACACUUUUCUCUUCCCAUAUCAAAAAAGGCAUUCAUUGUUACUAUUCAGUGGGACAUUGGCUCAGCAAGAGAAUUUGGCACCUCCUGCAGCACAUUUUCAUGCAGCCACAUAAAAACAAAGCAUACCAGCUGAAUGAUCAGCGUAGACCAAUCACAUUCUCUGAACGAUUCAGAUAUUCAAGAUACACAACCAAAAAAAAAGGUGGGGAAGGGUAUAAUUUCAUAUUCCUUUCACAAAAAAAAAGAAAGAAGCAUACCGUCCAAAUUAUCAGUAGCUCAAUCACAUCCUCUGGACAUGUUCAAAAGAAAAAGGUACAGCUUCACAUGCUUCUUCCAGCAUAUGCGUCGUGCUCUGAUAAGCAUCUUUGCAAUGUACACAGUUUUAGGUUACAACACAAAUAUAAGAGUUCCACAUUGACAAGUUUACGAGUCAGCCUGCAGAAAAAUGUCACGUUGAGUUUUAGUUUCUCAAUUAACAAUAAGACCAUCAAUACAGAUGUCUUGUUGCAGUUGCUGACUAGUUUACAAGGUGAAAUUUCUCUAGCCACUCUGCAAAAUCCCCAAAAUUUAGGCAUAAGCUACAUAACUUCCACCACCCCUUUGUCAGUAAGAAAUGCCGAAUAGACAAUUUCAGCUAUAUUGCUGAAUAAAGCACCAUGACAAUGGACCAAAAUGUCGUUAUUUUAUCCUCCCAGUUGCAAAACCCGCGCAUAGUUAUUAAAGCAGAAGUCUGUUCAGACCCCUGCACCAGUUCUCAUGAAUGGAGAUGCAGCAGGAGGGAUCAAACCAAGAGCUCGCAUUAUUUUCAGUCUGCGUAAACUCGGAUCUCUAGAUUUUUCUACCAAGGAUGGCAACUGCUAGUAGCAUAAUAAAAAGCUAAGUCAACAAAUGCUGCCCAGGAGAUGAAGGAUGCAGAAUGCUCAAAAGAAAGCAAAGAUAAAAUUGACCCACAACUUCAUGUUUAGUUGCUUUUGCAUUCUUCUGCUUCCCCGCUUCCAUCUGUGUUUGAUGAAUCUUAAAAGAAUGUGCAUGAUUCAACAAGAUACAAACUAUUUGAUGAGAAAAAGAAAAACAAUGAGUUAAAAAAUAACUAGAGACAACAAGGACUAGCACACGCUCACAGAACUCAGCCUGGGUGUCUUUAGGGUUGCAUUCUGUGUCUGAUCUUUACUUCUUGAUGGUUCGGCUCUCACUGAAAGUGAAUCAUGAUUUUUUUCCCUGGCCUCUGCAUUCUGAACGAAAAUAAUCCUAAAACUAUAAAUUUUGUCUCAUGAAGCACAAAAACAAGAUCCAGUACGAAAGUGCAAGUAUGAAUUGUAAUCUGCUCACAGAAUUUGGGCUCUUUGGUUUAAGUUUUUCAUGACUACCACUUUCCGUUUCCUCCUCCUCCUUUCCUUGCUCAGACUUUGAAGUCGUCUUGCCCUUUUUAACUGAAUUCUGUGCAGCAGUACCAUUUGAAGGCUUCUUUUUUGAGGUUUUUACCUGAUAUAAUGUUCAAUUAAAGGAAACCAAAAACCCCAGAACAAAAAUGCAAGCCUUGCAAAGAGGAAAUUAAGGUAUGUAAGACCAGAAAAGAUGUUUACUCACAGAUACUGAAGUGGCUUUUGGUUUCUUGGGCUUUAUAUUAGGCUUUGGUUUUCUGCUUUCUGCACUCUUACUUUUUGAUAGUAAUUGUACUAGGGAGAUAUUCCCCUAAGAUCCCAAAAUUGUUUCAACAAUAUGAUAGGAAGACAAUUAAGAUUCAUCCUUAAAUGGAACCUAGAAUUGCAAAUUACUCACAGAGUUCUUCACUGGCUCCAAUUUGAUCUCUUUUCUGCGCUUUGCUUCUGGAGUUGGCUGCAUUUAUCAUACAAAUGCAAAGAAGAAAAUGAAAAGCUCAACAAGUCAAACAUGAGAAAAUGCAAAUGAAGAAGGGAAGGAGCCUGUAAUCACAGAAAUUAUGCUAUUUGACUUGGGUUUCUUCUGCUCAUCUUCUUUUUUCCUUUUCCGGCUUUUCUCUUCUUUGCUCCUGACUGAAUCCAAAUUUAUUUCCUUCGACUUUUUUGUCAUUAACUUGGUAUUUAGCUUUUCCAAAUUUGAUUUUACCUGAUACACAAAAUUGCAGAUGCACAUGAAUUAAAACAUAUAGAUAAUGAUCCAAUCAAACAGGCCCAUUAAGAGGCUCAGACCAUAAAAAGCUCAAGAAGCUACGGAGUAAAUAAAACAAAGCACAGAUUUCCAUUCUAAUGCAUUUCUUGAGGACUGCAUUACUUUGCUUUUCUUCAGAAGUGUCAGUAUGAAUUCCAAACAUUACUAUAAACCUUCAACAAUUUAGACUCCCUGAGCACUCACAGUUGGGUGGUGAUAUUGCAAUGAAGGAAGAAUGUGUUCAUUUUCCCCUUGAUUUUACCAGACGAAAAAGAAGACAAGACAAACUUACAGAUGAAAGGGAUUUGAUAUUCUCGCCUUUGUCAAUUUUAGUUUGCUUUUCCAUUUUAUUUUGAGAUGCCUCAGCCACAACUGUUCCUGCUCAAACAACCAUGCAACUGUGAAAAGUAAGAUAAAUAACUGAGUACUUUGAAUUAUGACUAACACUUUCAAUAACUACCAUCUUGUGAGUUUCUUAAGUGCAACUUUUUAAUACCUCAUAAACCUAUUACCUUCACAAAUAACAUAAGCAUCAGUAUUAACGAGAUUGGGGCGCAGAGACGAGCAAAAAGCUUCAAAUGUUUCUUCCUUCAUAAUGAUUAAUCACAAAUUAAGUAAAGAAAAGACAGCAAAUCAGAAAGAGAAUAAGAGAAGUCAAGCUGUGUCAAAAACUUUUUGAUGCCCCAAAGUAGGAAGUGCGUAACAUAAAAUUCAACAAAGUUUGGUCAUGUAGUUAAGAAAAGAGAGAGAGACUAGAAAGAGGGUAAGAGAACUGGUAAGCUAAGUCAAAAUCCUUGUGACAUACCAAAAGGCUAGUACGCCCCAUAAAAUGGAACGAACAAAAAUGAAAACUUCAAUAAACAUUAUUUUGAUAGAAAACUAGAAGGAAGCUACCUCUCUCUUGAAUUAAAUAGUUUCUCAUAUUACUCAUGUAAAAAAGCAAAAAAACAAAAAAAAAAAGGGAGCAUAAAAUGGUAUACAAAAUCAAAAGAUGGGCUAACCUUUUGUUUUUUGCUUACAUGAACCUGAUUUGGAGCGCUGGAGUUCCUACAGUUCAAAUCCAUUAUUGGUAAGAUACAUUCAAAAGGAUCAUUUAAUUUUCUGGCCUAUAAUGAAGCAUAAAGCACCUAUGCAUUGCCUUCUGCAUAUGAAUUUGACAAGAAAGAAUUACCUGCUUCAUAGCUUCACUCAGAAUAGCACACUAUGACAACUCGUGUAUCCCUUGCAUCUUAUCAUUGAAAGGUAUAGACAACAUAACUGUUCAGAACACUGUUAAAGGGUGCAUGGACAAAUUUAAAUGCUCAAACUCCAAGCCAAGUUGAAUAGGAUCUUACAAAAAGAUGCAGGAAGAGGAAACUGCUGCCACAACUUCAAAAUUAACAAAUUAGUGCAGAGACCAAACAACCAAGCAGCAAAGGGCCAGUUCCAACUUGUAGUGUCCUUACAGUGGAAUGAGAUCUCCACCUGUUUUUCUCCACUUCCCUUUACAUCUUCCACUUACAGUGCCUUCAUCAACCUACCAUCAAAUGAAGUAAAAAUAUGACUCACUUUUGUUCUUUGCAAGAUACAGAAUGUACUAAUUUCACUGGCAGUAACAUUUAUUUGUGAAAUGCAGGAGAACUAAGGUUUUUUUGUAAUAAGAAUAUGGAGCUGAACCAACAAAAUCGCCAGAAUGAUAACUCUUGCGAGAUUUGAAAAACAGUAGUCGCUCUCUCAUCUAUUUUUCCAACAGAAAAUCUGUUACUUGCCCUUAGUUUAUCUUAGCGUCUGCAACUGAAUGAUCAAUUUUGCAUUCAUGCACAUUGCUAUAUGGAGUUGCACGUUAUCAGAUCAACAAUAGACAUCACACUGCAAGAAAAUUUACUGACAUCUAGGUUUUUCAAGUAUUUGAUCGUACUUAAAGCAAUUCAAGCUGUACAGAGCAAUAAUAGGUCAUACUAGAUAUCAACAGACUGCAUUAUGCAAUAUAAGGAAACUGAAUGUAUCUUAUAUCUUCCCUUUCAAUAUACAAAAGCGGCUAAUCAUUAUCAUCCAUAUAUCUACAUUAAAUAGCAUUUAAGAGUGCAUUAUUUUGAAACACAAAUGCAUUGAAAAAUAUACCCCUACCGUCAAUCACAUCCACAUGACAGAAUGGCUGCCCAUGCAACACUAUAGCUUCAAGCAUUUCAACCACUCACAUCCUCAAAGAACCGCUGCAUAAAGUAAAGAUCUUUGUUGCACAUGCUCAGUGCAGGUCUUCAGGAUGAGAAUGCCUAAUGGUUCUAGGUAUCAAGUUCUACAAUUUCCUCAAAUCUAGGAUAUUGAGAUGCCAAGACUAUCAGAGAUGUCUAGAGGUAAAGGCAAUUUUCAAACUCCGAAGCAUGAAAACUUUACUCUACAUUAGGUACAUCCAGUUGUUGGAACUAGCAUGAAAUGGACAGAUAUCAAUAUCAAGGUCUGCUGGAAAGCUGCAAAUUCUCAACAAUUAAAACAAAAAAAGGCAAAAAAGACAUUGUCAUGUUAGAGCAGUUGAAUGCCCCUGCAUAACUACGAACAUAUACCAAUGGUCCAGCAUUGCACUUCAGUAACAAUCAAAGAUCAAAAAUCUAGUAGGACCACAAAUUGUAGCUAAAUUAUUACAAGGCAAUAAAAUCAUUUCCGCUGCAGCUCAAGGGUUAAUACUUUUAGUUAACAACAUCAGCUGUGAAUUGUCAGAAAUUGAAAGUCAGCAGUUAAUUUAACACAGGAGAUGCUCCAAUUAACAGCACUGAGAGACCACAUUUUAGCCCAGAGCGUUCAUAUCGACACAAUCGCAAAAAAUAGGGGAUUAAACCCAGUGGUAACCAAGCAGUAUUGGCUUUCAUCGAUCUUAAAUUAAUCAAACUACAACCAAAAUCAAAAGAAAUGAACCAAGAAACAAGAAAAACAUUCAAGAAAUCCUCCUGCCCCUUCUAAUUUCCCCAGUCCCCAAGUCCCAUUUCCAAAUAAUAACUAUGAAUAUUGGAAAGAAAAAGGAUAAAUUAACUUACGUGUAGAAGUGAAAAGAGUCCAGAAAAACUUCAGAUGUUAGCUGUCAAAAAACUCAAAACUCUUUCCGUAUAAUCUGCACUUCUUGUUGGAGAGUGGAGACAAUGGGGAGUGAAACAAAUGUGGCCAAUUUACAACAGCACUUGCGCAGAAAUGAGAGUUCCCAGACCUUGGACGACUUUUUCCCUUCAAUGUCUCCCAGGUCCUAAUAACGAAACCAAAGCCAAAAGGAAAACAAGAAGGGAUAAAGAGUUAAUUACAAAGUACCCCCUCAAAAAACCACAUGCCUUGCCUUGCUUGUUAUUCACAUGGAUGAUGGAACAAAUCAAUUCUCUCAGCUUUUUAUGGUUUCCCAUUGCCGAGCGCUCCUAAAUUGCCUUCCAGUAUGAUGAUUUUGUAACGGGAGAUGCAUGUAUAUUUAUUAUUGUGAUGAAACGACAGCUUUUUUUUUCGGGUCUAAAUGGGUAUCCAAAAUUACCCAGACUAAUCCCUUAGUUGGGCAGAGUUUCGCCCCAAAUAUGCCCAGCAACAAUAGCACAUGGGGAUCGAAUCUGAGACCUUACUGUAAUUAUAAAUGAUCAAUCCCAACCGAGCUACCCACGGGAGCACGAUAAAACGAGCUUGUCAUAAAAUUCAUUAUUUGUGACCUAGAGUUGGAAAAUGUACACUUGAAAAUUAUUAUUAAGUCUAUUAUUUGUUCUUUUUCAACUUCAUGUUUAAAAAUGGUGAACACAUAUUUGUGGGUAAAUGUUGAUUUCCUUUGCCGAAGAAUCUCCAAUUUUAUUGUUCUAUGCAAGAUGUACAUGUAACGUAAUAAAGUUGUAACUAGGGCUGUGCAUCGAAAUCGAAAUCGGUAAAUCGGAAGUUUGAAAUUGGAAUUUUUUGAAAUUUUGACAUGAAUUUUUCCGACCGAAUUCGAUUUCGAAAUGGCCAAUUCCGAUUUCGAAUUCGAUACCCGAAUUUCGAAUUCACCGAAUUCAAACCUACUCUACUCUUAGUCUACUGCACUUCCUCCCUUCUCGGUCUAUUGCUAUUCUACUUCACUCUCACCGACCACUGCAAACUCCUGCCAGUCUAAGUCUACUCCGUUUUCUCCAACUUUCUCUACGCUACUUGUGAUUUAGUAAGUAGUACAAACUGCAAAGAGAAACGACCAAUGGAAGGAGGGUUGGAGCUGAGUAAAGUGACGCUGGAAAUCUUCUCCAAGCUCGAGCAACAGUGGUUGCAUCACUGCCAACCCCCCAAGAAGACUCACAUUCUCAGUAUCGACGGCGGCAGAGUCGGCUCCCCCUCUGCCAUCUUCGCCGCUCAUUCCUUGAUCCUUCUCGAAGACCAGAUCCAUGCCAAAUCCGCUGAUUCCCAAUCUCGCAUUGCCGAUUUCCUCAAUCUUAUCACCGACACUGGCAUUGGAGCUCUUUACGCUGCAAUGCUUGCCGCCGACGACGGUUAUGGACGUCCUUUGUUCACCGCCAGGGAUGCCGUCAACUUCAUCGCCCAAAACUAGUCCCGGCUCUUUAAAGUCAAGGGCACCCUCACCCUUUCAAGCUUGCUUUUGGUUACCGAUCCGAUCGCAAGUAAAUGAGAUACUCUAAAUAUACCAACCCUGUCCUCUGUUCUGGGUGUAGUCUAUCGCCCUUUCGGCCCACUGAGUAGGCCUUUUUCUUUCAAUACGACGGCCUCAGCUUAUUCUUUUAGACUCGUCCCACGAAGCGGUUUGGAACUCGUUUCGUAUGCGGUAUCACCUCUUUUAGUUGAUUGUCCCGGCGAACCUGAGUAUGCCUCCUUUCCGCCAGCCUAGGCUUCGGAAUUCUCGCCGACAAAGGUUCUCUGGCAGGAGCAUGGAUGUGGCGUGAAGAUGGAGGUGAAACUGAGAGUGAGAGAGAGUAAGUUGAGGAAGUAGGAAAUCACAGUGAGUCGGAGACGGAGGAAGGAAGGUGAGACAGUGAGUCAGGCGGUGGAGGCGGUAGAGAUGGAGGAAGGAAGGUGAGAGAUAGUCUUGAGAGACGAUGAGGAAGAGGUGGCGAAGAGUAACAAGAGUUAACAGAUUAGGUUUUUGCAAUUUCAAUUGUUAGAUGUAUCAGUAUUAUUGUUAUUAACUUAUUAUGUUAUAUAAUAUAUAUU